rnacentral:lncRNA from 1 species
UAAGCAGAACUUGACAUUCUCCUUGUGUGAUGGAUGACGAUGAUCUGCCACCCUGUUCUUAUCUUCUUCGUCACCGUUUCUUCCGGUCUGUGUCACUUAAGAUGCUGAUAUGCUAGUAUGUGGGGCAUUAGGAUGUGUUGAGCUAAGAGUUAACUGUCAUCUCUGUCUGCAAUCACCUGUUAGUGUCAAAUGUCCUGAAAGUCUGGCUGCUGACUAUGUGUGCAGCAGUCAGAUGUAGUAUCUUGUUUUAUAAGAUUGCAAAGGCCAUCGGACUUGUGCUGCUGAACUAAUUCCUUUCUCCCACAAUCUCCUACCUAGUCAGAUCACUGGGUUUUAUACUUUACAGUGAGCUGAGAUAUCAGAUAUGCACUUCUGGUUUUUUGUGUUGUUGUUGAUCCCUCUCUGCUUUCAAACUUACCAGUUAUCCAAUUAUUCUUAUAUAUUUUUUUACGUUAUUAUGUAUAAUUCAGUUGCCUUGUAGUUGCGGCUGAAGCCAUUAGCCAUAUAUGCCACAAUGCGUCCCAGUUAUGAUUUAUGAGCCAUAUGUGCCACAAUGUGUUCCAGUUGACUUUAUUCAGCUGGCUUCCAACUGUACAUCUGGGUCGUGUAUCUGAGUCAGUUUGAGCCCACUGCCUAGAAAAGUCAAGGCAGAGCCCACCACCCAGAAACGGUCUGGACAGUCCACGAGGCAAAAAAUACCAGUCAUGGAUGGUUGGCCCAUUUCUUUGUCCAAAUUCAAUCUCCACAAAAGGUGCAUAGAUCCUUCAGACUGUGUGCUCACUCUCACUUUGUCAAAUUCAGGUCGCUGUGGCCUAUAUAGCCACACCCGUUCUCACUCCCACUUUGUCAAAAUCCAGGAGGCACUUGCGGCAGGCGUGUUUUGCCAGAGACGACGCACCACUCGCCAACCGGGUCAAGUGUUCAGGUCGCUCUCUUGAUCAGUUCGGCCAACCAAGGUCGGUGUCGCGGCUAGAAGAAGAAGACGAUGAGGAGGAGGAAGGAAAGCUUCUGACGGAAGAAACUUAUUAACGAGGGGCGACAGCCAACAGGGCAGACCAAGACAUGCCGUCGCCGUCGGCGUUGUGAAUCCGCGCUCGUAAUAAAGGUCACGGACGGGCUCAUGAGCCCGUCGCCUUCCUCGCCGCCCCGGUUACUUCGGGACACGAACGCGACGGCGGCGACGGGGGUGAUCACACAAAUCAAUGCCGCUGCCGCGGGUGGCCCGUGAUGCGGCCGUCGGUCGGUCGAGCCACACCAUGACCUUGUCACGAUGCCAGGCGCGACGCCCGAUCGAUCGGUUUUCGUCAUGAAUGCGCGAUGCGGCAGUGGCACCGCGGAGGUCGACGCAGUCGGCGGCUCGACGUCCUCCGUUCGUUUCUCUCUACGUACGACUGUACUGUAUGUAUGUAGCAGCAGUACAUGCACACGGAGGACGGCCGCAAAUCAGUUACUCCUACUGACUACUCUGCUGAUCUGCCACUGCUUUGACGUUUCUCUCCUCGGAGGAUCGCUGCUGAUCACCAGGCAAGGGCAGGGCGCAGCGAUAUAUGUGCCUGCCACCCCAUGACGCACGCACGCACGUACGAGCCGAUCCAAGGCACAUGCAGCAUGCUACGUGUCAGGCGACCCGAUCCCGUGGCCGGUGCCGUGUUGACUUGGCGUCCACCCCGUCCGGCCAUUGCGACUGUGGUGGUGCAAGCAAAGCGGCGACGCCAUUUCGGCAAACGCACGCGCCGUGUCUCCGGUGUUUGUCUCCUCACGAGGGAGAAAGAGAGAGGGACCUAACUCACGUAUGUUUCGCUGGUUAUCUGGUGUCUAUUAAUUGUCCUGCUACAUUUUAGGAACCUAGGAUUAUUCCUCGUGCUUUACAGAGUUAGUGGCUAUCUAAACCUAAUUAAAGCAUUACUAGUAGAACCCUCAAACCCUCACUAGCGUUUUAAGGGUCCAAAAAUGAUUUUUUUGUGCACUUUUACGAGUUAAAAAACAGAGGCAAAGAUUAGAACCCUCGAACCCAACCCUUAUAACGGAAUAUUCCCCAUGAACGAUGUUGUCGUUGUGCGCGGGAGGUCGACGGGGCGGCCGCCGGCGACGGGGGCGACUAGCAGCGGCGGUCGCGGGCGUGGGCGCGGGAGUUGGGAGGAUUUUUCCCUCCCGGGUGAGUAUAACCGCCAAAUGAGGGUUGGGGUAGGUUUUGCUCCCCAACCCUUACUUUUGAGGAUUGGAAGAGGGUUUGAGGGUUGGACCUUUAAAAAUUUUUGAGGGUUUAAGGGUUAAGGGGUUCUAGUCUACGGCUUUUUUCGACGAAAACUGUAAAAAAGCAGUUAUUUUUAGGGGUUUGAACAUUUGAGGGCUCUACUAGUAAUGCUCUUAUGCUGCCACUGGCUACCACAUGCACGCGCCUUCGUUCUGUACAGAGACGGGCUAGUCCGGCCAGAAUUGAUUACACUUGCCAGGUUAACUAGUGAGUACUCCUAACUAGCUGCCCCUGCACACGGCUCUAAUUUGUAGGCUGCUCUUUUGGUGGCAUUGUGCGUGCAUGUGUCACACACAGUGUCAGUACUCGGUAGACAGAGCUUUGCCGGAGAAAACCAAGAGCAUUUUCAGCCGUUGGUCCCCACAGGAGGCGCUAAAAAUUGCCCCCGGGAGUGCACCGACGCAAAAUGCGCGCUGGGGCGUGAUGUCACCCAGUCACGGCGUCCAUGCAAUUUUUUUGAACGGCGCAAACACGGCGAGUUUAUGCAUAUUUCGGCGACUUCAAACCAAAUUCGACCAAACACGGCACAAACACGCCCGCUCAUAUAUAUUUAAAAUAUUUUAUAGAAAAAACGCACUGCUAGGCCCGUCCGCCGUCUCGCUCGCCUCGCCGCACCUCGCCAGCCGCCGCCCUUGCAGUUCUACAUGCCGAGGAGGCUGUAGAACCGCGUGUAGUCGCUGUCGUCCUCGUCGUCGUCGCCGCCGCCGCCUCCAUCGUGGCCGCCGUCCCUGCUGCAACCCUCCCACGAUUGGCGCGGCGGGUUGGACAGUCCGGGCGUCCGGCGGCGUCCUCGUCGUCAUUGCUGUCGAGGAUCACGACGUCGUGCUCGUCCUCGCGCCCACGCUUGCGGGCGGCGAUCUCCUCCAGGGCCCGGGUCUGCCGGGUCAUCACCGUUUGGAGGUAGUCGUCGCGCGCCCACCGCAGGGCGUCCGCGUCGGAGAAUCCACGCCGGGCUAUCUCCUCGUACUCCGGGGGGAGACUGGGCUCCGGCUUGGGCGCGACGAGGACGAGGCGCCCGGAAGUGGGGGUGGAGUCGGCGAUGCGGAUACCGGAGAUGCGGGUGCGCCGGCUGACAGGCGUGUCCUGGGGCUCCUGGGGCUCCGGCUUGACGGGGCGGAGGCUGGGAGAGCCGGUCGACCGACCGGACGAGGAGGAGGACGCCCGGGGGUCCAUGCGCCUCGGCGUCCACGAGCUCCCACGGCGGCGAGAGAAGGACGGCGGGGAGGGGUACUCUAGCCUCAGCGUGUUGCCGCCCUCGAUGUACUCGAGGACGGCCUCCAGCGUGCGGCCGGGCACGCCCCACCAUCGGCGCCGCCCUUCAGAGUUGAGCCUGCCGGAGGGCACGACGCCAUUGGUGGCCUCGAGCUACUCGGCGUGACGGCGGCGAAAGUAGGGCUCCCAGAGCGGGCUGUCGGGGACGUACCAUGGCCCCUCCCUCGCCGCCCGCGGCAGAGAGGCACGAAUACGCGCGAUCUCCGCACGACGCGCCGCCCCGGUGGGCGGUGGUGGCACCGGAACCCCGCCGGCGCUGAUUCUCCACGCCCCGGGCACCCGCAUGUCCGGCGGGACCGGGUACUCGGCCUCGUAGAGGAGCCGAGCUUCGUUUUCGUGAAGGUGGUGGCGGCCGAAGCCGUUCGCCGCCGCGCCGUCGCCAGGGAAUCGUUCGGCCAUUUCUACGAACUGGGACAGCGAGGGAAGAGGGAGGAAGGGGAGAUAGGGCGCGUCGGCGGUCGAGACUCUGUGCGUGCCACCGGCGCGCUGGGGGUCGGCUUAUAUAGGCGGAGGCGGCGCGAGCACGCGUGGCGGCCUCGUCUACGCGUGGCAUGCGCGGGGACGCGCGUCGUCAUGCCUUCACUGCGCCGCCCGUGAGGCAUCAACGGCGGAGGCUGACCGGCGCGGCAGCGCGCGGCAGUUUUGGCAUUGAUUCGCCGCGGGAAACGAUGCGAUGAGGACGACGAAGCGGCGAGAAGCGAGACGAGUCGCUGGCAAGGAGGGUCCGUGGCUCUUUCGCGCCAAAAACGGUUCACCCGGCGCCCCCAAGCGCCCCCAGCGCGCCGGGUUCGGGUUGGGUUCGCCGGCGCCAAUUUCGGGUCAACCCGGCGAAAAUUGGGCCCUUGGGGACGCGACUGGACCGAUUUUUUAUGCCGGCGACCGAAAAAUCGUCUUGUGGGCUUUGUUGGGGCGCGGCUGGAGAUGCUCUAAGCUCCACCCCACCUUCAACAAUUCCAAGAGUGCAACAACUUGGUGAGAUGAUCUAGCACACAGCAAAACUCGCUGCAUGUGAAUACACGCUUUCAUGGUGAUCUACUACAAAUCUAAGCACGUACUACGCCGCAUGCAUGCACGUACGUACCCUUCAAAACGUUCACGCGCAAGAAGAGGGCUGAGUUGCCGACGCGUGUUAACUGGAUCUGCGUGCAAGCCCGUGUCAGUGCACCGUGUGCGGUGAGACCGUGAGGCGACAUAAUCUGCAUGUCGCGCUUCAUUUCGCGCGUUAUAUCCUUGCUUAGACGACAGGACCACAGACACGAGCGGAGCAACGGCGUAACUCCCCGUCGCACGGUGCAGGCCGGCGGGCCCCGUCACGGGCAGCUCGCAUAACUGCGUAGCAGCACCUCAACAAUGCAUGGAGAGUACGGAAUAUGAGUAACGUAGCAGUGGUAGCUGACAUCGAUCUCCUAGUGGCUAUAGUCCCUCCCUACAAGAUCCAAGGGACAAUCUUAAUGGAGGCCUUCAAGGAAGGAAGGAAUAGUGCAAGAUCCAGAGAUCCAUCACCCGCAUGGCCACGUACAGAUACGCAGUACUCAUACGGCUACUGCAUGCAUGCAUGUAUACAUGUGUAUAUAUGGGCAUGCAUGUGCGUGUGCAGUGCACGGCAGAUACCACGUAGGGUAGGAGAGCUCAUUUUUAGUAAGAGAACCAAUAGUGCAAGAUCUUACGGAUACGUACGCGCUCCGGUUACAAACGUAACGUAGGUCACUUGUAACCACCAUAGCUAGCAAAAUCACGUACACAAGCGUGUGUAUUUUGUACCGUGGCAUGCAAGUUGGAGAGCUAGCCGGGUCGCCGCGCCAUCUGCAGUGAACAAUUGACGAAAACUACGAAGGCAUAGGCAUUCAGUGCUGCGGCACGUACGUGCGUAGCAAAUAGUGGUAGCUUAAGUGCACGCGCCGGCCUUCGCCUUUCAUCAUUUACACGUCCGUGCAGCCUCCGAGUUACCACAGCAUUAUUGCUCGCUUUCCCCUUUGCAGCGCCAUCGCCAUGCGCUGCAACACCACAGCCCCAUCCCCAUCACCCCAACAGUGAAGGGGGCAUGGCGGCCAUGCAUUUCCAAAGCUCGAUCUGCACAGGAGCACGUAUUUUUUGCCCCAUCCCCCGGAACAGGGCGCAGAUUAUAUACUAUGCCACGGAAGAGGAGACGGUUAUUUUCAACGGGCUCGUCGCAAAGAUGAAAAGUUUCAGUUCCAGCUCCCGAGAAGUUGUCACUCCCAAGAACUUGGCAAGAUGCGGCGACAAACGACCAAGUUCACGAGCUGUUAAAAGGGAAAAGACACGCCAAAGAUUAGCUUGCGCAACAAGGUUGGCGAGCAACGACGUUCAUGUCGGGCGUUUGUGUCGUUCGAGUUAGGAACCUUGCCGCCCUGUUGACUGCACGAUGUACGUGGGAUCCCUAAUUAACAAGGCCUACCAUACGUGCCUGUCAAAAGAGAAUACAAAAAAACCAUCGAGGUCACAGUUCAAUGGCAGGACAAAAAAUGAUGUUCAGAGAAACAACAAAAGGCGGAGUCAUUGUGUCUGCCUCCCUGUCAUGUACUCCUCCCUACAUUCUUUGCUUAAUUAUCGGGCUAAUCUUGACACCACGGGGCCGGGGCCGCCGCUACACGAUAGACCACACUGUCAAUGUCACCCCCAUGAAGUGCCAUGGAUUAUAUUACAUGAAAGGAAAGAAUCGAGUCGUAGACGAAGUGCGUUCGUGCAAUGAACACUAGAAAAUCUAGAAUGUGGUCAUUGUCGUGUCCAGGAAUCGGAUGCAAGUCGGUUUCGUCAUAAACAUGCUUGCACGACUUGGGGAGGUGGCAUGAUCGUGCUGUUUUUCUAAGCAAAGUGAGCUUCUCCUCCAGAUUCUUUUCAUAGGCUGAAAUAAAGUAAUCCAAGGAUCGAGAUUUUGCUAAGCAGAAGAAGAAAAAGAGAUCUUGCUCAGCAAAACAGUUCUCCCAAAAACCUAUUGUCGUCUUGAUUGGUAACCUUGACCCCCGGCGUUGCCUCCCGCAUGGGGCGACUCGGGCGGCGCCCAAAAACCUAGCUGCCGCCGUCACGCACUCCCUCCUCCCCUCCCUCCCCCGCCACCGGCCUAAGACCGGAGGCCGUCGGCGGUGGCGGAGCACAACACCUCUCUCCCAUGUCUCUAGGGGUUGUGUGGGCCUCGAAUCGUGUGGAGGCGCGCCCGAUCCGAUCGGCNNNNNNNNNNNNNNNNNNNNNNNNNNNNNNNNNNNNNNNNNNNNNNNNNNNNNNNNNNNNNNNNNNNNNNNNNNNNNNNNNNNNNNNNNNNNNNNNNNNNNNNNNNNNNNNNNNNNNNNNNNNNNNNNNNNNNNNNNNNNNNNNNNNNNNNNNNNNNNNNNNNNNNNNNNNNNNNNNNNNNNNNNNNNNNNNNNNNNNNNNNNNNNNNNNNNNNNNNNNNNNNNNNNNNNNNNNNNNNNNNNNNNNNNNNNNNNNNNNNNNNNNNNNNNNNNNNNNNNGGGGCGGUGGCGGCGCGCCAUCUGCCUUUGGAUCGGCAGCACCGGCGUCGAGGGCCUGGUGGUCGCGUCGGCGGCCCCUCCGGUCAGAUUUGUUCUGGCCGGUGCAGCCGGCGAUGGUGGUCAUCUCUUCCGUCAGAGGUGGUCGGUCUGCGGCUGGGUGGUCGGUUCUCGUGAUUCGUCAUGUAGUCCCGGCUAUGAGUCGGGGAUACAUAGUUGCCGGUGAAAAUCGAGCUGUUGGCAAGUGAUGGCGGCGUUUUGCGUCGUUACCUUCAUGAAGGCAUCGUCGUGUAACUGUUGUCGACCCACUCGUGCUGCUUCAGGGGAAACCCUAGGAUUUGGUCUUUCAGAUUGGACGAUGGCUGUACUACGGUGCCGUUUCUUUCUUGGGAGCAUCAUUUGUGGAGCAGUGCUGGAAGGCAAAGGUAGAAGGUGGAGCGGCUUUAUCUUGCACCGAGCUUCGGUGGAGCUCAAGUCAUGCCUACCCGACAGGUGUAUAUCUGGGUCAUUCCUAGUUGGCAGGUGCUACGCACGGCAGAUCUUCGAGAGUCUUCGCAUCUGGACGGACGAGCGCAGGGCGGUGUAGCCAUUGGGCGCCGUGGUGGCGUCGACGGUUGUCCGAGGCAAGAAUAAUGCGAAUCUCUCUCUUGAAGAUGGGUCAGUCACUAGUGCAGAACCGGGCAAUAGCACCGGUUCGUAAGGCCCUUUAAUGCCGGUUCCAUAACCGGCACUAAAGUGUGGGCACUAAAGCCCCCCCCUUAGUACCGGUUCAGCACGAACCGGUGCUAAAGGGCAACCACGUGGCACGAGCCAGCUCCGGGGGCCGGGAGCCCUUUAGUACCGGUUGGUAACACCAACCGAUACUAAAAUGUUUGGGGGGUUUUUGGUUUUAUGAUUUUUCUUUCAUUUAAUUUUGUGUUUUCCAUUUUAAUUCUUUUUAGUUUGCUGGUAUUUUACGAUACUGCACAUUGUACACGUUAUAUAUAUAUAUAGAAUUUCUAGUAGAACCAAUCAUAUAUAUAUCAUCAAUGUCUCACAAACCACCAUAUUAAUUCACACAUACACACAUGUAUAGCUAUAUACAAUUUCUCCUACAUAUGCAUGUUGCCUUCGGAGCUAGUGGCAUUAGCCUAAUUGGUGCGUUCGGAGCACGAUGACAAUUGGAAGUGGUUCAUGACCUGGUCGAUGGGGGCGGUAGCGGGUAAUAGUAUUCUCCCUUCGGAUUUAUGACCUGGUCGAGCAAAAAUCUCGCUAUUUCCUCUUGAAGUGCUUCUACGCGCUUCGUUUCUAGAAGCUUGUCCCGCACCUCUGUGAACUGUUAAGAAGGAGAUCAAUAUGCAUGUGUAUUAGUUGUGUGACUAGAUAUCGAUAAUGGUGUAAAAAUUAUGAAUAGUGUUCUGACAAGCGUACCCAUUCCCGUUUUUGAGAUCUGCUCCUUUCGGACGCCAUCAUGCGAAUGUUCUCGCAAACGCAGAAUGCACACAGAUCAGUCCCCUGCGCCUGCUUCAGGGCCUUUAUUACGAGAAUGGAAUUUAAUUUGAUCAGAUAAUAAUUAAUCAAGCAUGAUAAUUAAAGAGAUGACAGCUAGCUAGCUAGCUAGUACUACUUAAUUACUUACCUUGGGUCGAAACCUUUUCAGCUGUCGUUUCCAUUCGCCUUCCGUGACGCUGAUGAACCUUGCCCAAGCCCUACCCGCCGACAAAGAAAAUGAAUAAAGGGAUUAUUAAAUAGUUCAUAUCAUGAAAUGACGAACUAAAUAGGCCGAGAUAUAUAGUUAAUAAUGAUUGAAAUUACCUAUUGACUAUCCCAAACAAGAUGUUAUAGUCACUAUUUGCUUUGAGUAGUGAGUCCAGUAUUUCAACUGUUCCGGCGUCAACUUUAAUGAUACACAAGAUCCAGUGAAAUCUGAAUGCACACACGUUUGCUUGUCUUAAUUAAGCGGGUAUAUGUAAGCAAAAACAUGUAGCUAGCUAGUAGGCAAAAACAGAAAAUUUGUAGUACAAGAAAGUGUGACUCACUGGAAGUUGUAAGGAAGUAUUAUAUCUUCAUUGUAUUUGAGGCGCUUCAGGAACUCUAGCAUGCUGUCCUCUACCUGCUUUUCAUGAUGCUUGUUUAUUUUCCAUGUGUAUUCAUUAACGGUGUUUGGGUCAAUGAACCCAAUGCCAUAGCGUUCACCUUUUCUCAUUUCAUACAUCUUCAUCCUGCAUAAUACCACAGAAAAGAAUAUAGUAAGGAUAAUUAUAGGUAAUGAUUGAUCAAAAGGAUCAGUACAGCUAGCUUGAGACUUAAAUUACAGAAAGAAAACAUUUACAGACAAUAGCAAUUGGCGAUAGAUUUGUUGAGUGCGUCUUGAUUGUAUAACUGAAACAGUUUAGAAUACUCAACGGUCACAGGUUUUUGAUGGUAGUAAUGAUCCUUCUUGACUUGCACCAUGAGGGACUCUCGAUCGGAUCUCUUGGUAAUGUCCAUGUACCAUUGAUGCAAUUCAUACAUUCUCGUUGGGAGCUUCUUGACCUCUUCUGGCUUGACCAAAGGUUGGCCCCGGGCAUAUUUCCGUUUUAUUUCCUCCUCUGUAAGCACAGGCAUGUCCUCGAUCUCGAGGAGUUGUCCAACAGUGAUUUUGAGAGUUUCAGCCUGCAUUAUAUGCUCCUGGGUUAUUACCACAUCGCCCACCUCGGGAACGUAAACUGUUUACCCACAAUAAUAUUGGGCGCGCGUACUGUCACGUGUUGUUGGCGGCACAACAAGCGGGGGGAUCGAUUGCACCGCCUGUUCUCCCAGCUGGGCAACGGUUUUCCCGCAUUUUUUGACAGCUGCUUAUUGUUUGCUCGAGCUCGAGCUCGCCUCCUUCUGUAGACGUUGUCGAUAUAACUUCCUGAUGUGGCGCUCAUAGUCUGUGUCAACAGGCUUAGGAGCUGGUGGUUGAGCCAUACGAAUGAAGUGGUCAACUACUUCCACAGACACUUUCUCCCUUGGCGGCGGUGGCGGUUUCGGUUCAAAAUGGGCGUCGACUUCUGCCCGCACUAUGGCAUUGGUUUGCUCCUCGGUCUUGUCGUAAGCCCUCUCAGGAAGAGGAGUAGUGAGGUUUGGACCAUAUUCAUAGCGCUUGCCUCCGCCUGUACUUCCUAUACUAUGACCUCGACUCGUACCGCUACGCACCAUAGCUGCGGGGUGUCUCUUCUACAAUUGCCGAGGCAGCGGAGACGGCUGAUGGGGCUGAGUUGGACGAGGAGGAGUGGCCUAAAGCUGUGCCGGACUUGGAGAAGGAGUGGCCUGAGGUUGUGCCGGACUUGGAGGAGGAGUGGACGUCUGACGCUGUGUCGGACUUGGAGGAGGAGUGGCCUGACACUUUGCCGGACUUGGAGGAGGAGGAGUGGCCUCACGCGUUGGUGGACUUGGAGGAGCGGGAGUCUGCUGGCUCGGUGGCGGACUUCGACGAGGAGUCGGGUGACGCGGUGUCGGUGGCCUUUGAAAGAUGAUGCAAUCAUUUCUCCAUAGGAUGAUACGAUGUUUGGCAUCUCCGAGUGUGUGCUCCUCGUCACCUCCAGAAAUGUCAAGCUCUAGCCCCGAAUAUUGGUCCACCACCUCAUGAACCACGACACGAGCAUAGCCUGCUGGAAUCGGGUUGCAAUGGAAGGUUGCAUCUGGGGAAUUUGUAUAAGCAACACCGUCCGCCACCUUCAAGGAUAUGUUCUUAAUUUUGAAGUGUAGCUCGCAGUUAGUGUUCUCCGCGAUGUCAUCCACGGGGUAUCUAUCCAGCAUUGCGUCAAACGGGGCGGAACCCACGCUGCUUCUCGGCAUGGAUGGGGCGGUGGUAUCCAAUGCUGGAUCAUCCGCUAGCUGCUGCAGCUGCUGAGACCCCCUUUGCUGGCUAAGUGAGUCGAUCUGCUCCUGCUGCCGCUGGAAUUUGACUAUCAAGUCCGCGCGCGCUGAUUCUAGGCCUUGAAGGCGUUCAUAGUCCAGCUUCCACUUCUCCUCCUCCAUCUUCCUUUGCUUCUCCUCCGCAAUCUUCCUUCUCGCACGGGUUCUGUAGUCGGCGUUCCAGUCCGAAAACCCCUCAUACCACGGAAUAGCGCCCUUGCCCCAUGUUCUUCCCGGGUGUUCAGGAUUUCCCAGGGCACGCGUAAGCUCGUCGUUCUCUCUGUUGGGCUGGAACACCCCCGUUCGAGCCUCUUCUAUUGCAAAAAGUAUAUUAUCGUCGGCUCCGUUCGGACAUGCCUUCGUCGAAACUUUGCCUGUCUUCGGGUCCAACUCCCCCCCAUGCGCAUAGAACCAAGUGCUGCACCUGGGGGGCAGCUCUUAGUAACCGGAGAGACACCUGUAUCCUCCAUCUCUUUCUCAGACUUAUCCCACUUAGGCAUUGCCACCGCGUAGCCACCUGGCCCCAACUUAUGAAACUUAUCCUUUUUUCGGCAUUCUUCUUGUUUAUUCUCGGCCGUUCCUUAGCUAAUUCUGAAUCCUUGAAUUUCACGAAAUCGUCCCAAUGAGCACUUUGAUUCUCUAGUGUUCCCUCGAAUACUGGAGUCUUCCUUCCUCCCUUGACGUACUUGUCCCAUUCACGAUUCUUGUGGUUCUUGAAUGCAACCGCCAUCUUCCUAAAAGGAGCGUCCUUGACUUUCUGCACAUCUGCUUAUGUGAAAUGAUCUGGUAGGGUGAAAUGUUCCAUGAGAGUAUCCCAAAGCAGACUUUUUUGUCUGUCGUCGACAAAAGUAAGAUCUGGACGUGGCUUUGCUGUCUCUCUCCAUUCUUGAAGGGAGAUCGGGAGUUGGUCCUUCACAAGAACUCCGCACUGACGAACGAACUUGUCCGCAAUCUUCUUAGAUGCUAAUGGUUCGCCAUUAGGUUUGAUUGCCUCGAUAUUAUACUUUACGCCCUCCUUCAACUUUUUGUUCGGGCCUCGUUUCGUCCUGUUGCCUGAAGAUUUGCUCGAUCCGGAUGGCUGAAAGAAGAAAGAUCGAUUCGUUAAUAUAUCUUCAACUCAUAUAGAACAUGUGAUGAUCACCAGAUGCCUGCUUAUAUAAAUAUAUAUACCUCGCCGGUCUUUGUUGUUUCAGGAUCAACAUGUUCUUCGUCAUUGUCAUAAUCGUAGUUGACUUCAUCAAUUCGGUUGUCGCGAUCGAAUAUCAUAUCACCCUCUCCGGUGUUGUUUAGAAAUUCGGAGCCGUCAUAAUCUUCUUCAUUCUGAUCAUCAUCUGGCCUGCGUAUUAUAUCAAACAUGGUCUGUUCUCCCUCUCUGUCGGUAUUGUCCGCCAUAGCUUUUAUUUAACUAUGCCAAAAGAAAUAUAAAACAAUUUAGUAUUCAAAUUACAUCAUCUCGAAUAAUAGAUAUAAUCUCGAAUACAUCGUCUCGAAUAAUAGAUAUAAUCUCGAAUACAUCGUCUCGAAUAAUAUAUAAUAUUGAAUAGUACAACACUGGCUAGGUAGCUAAUUAAAGAUCGAAUACUGCAGAAGAAUCUAGGACACUCGCGGUUCCUGCGACGCGGGCGGUGGACACCCAAAGAGAAGGAACCCUCACAGGAUCAUAGCUGAGGUGAAAUCCCUGAAGAAAACUGCCAGGUAUUGGAGAACCUGCCGCCCUCUAACGCAACCAUGUAGCGAUGGACGUGCUCGUCCUCCUCCCUGACACGGCGACAUACCACCUCCUGCGGGGCCGGCUCCCUCCGCACCAGAACUGGCCCACGCGAACGCCACCAAACGAGAUCAGGGUCGACGACGGGACCCGGGGCCGGGUUCCUCAUCAAGCGGCGCGCCCCUCCAGGCAUCACCUCCCAGUGCCAGCCCGGCGGAGCCCAGUCCCGGACAUGGGUCAGUCGGACAUCGUCGCGGACGGGUCGAUGGCGAGGAUGCGGGCCGGGCAUCGUCGAGAACAAAUACUAGCUAUAUGCCCGCAAAAAGUAACAUUUUUUUAAUGAUUGGAUUUUGAUAACUAAAAUUUCUAACAUUUCUAUAUAACACUAAUUAUGCUAUCAUUGCAUAUGUCAAAAUUCUAAAUGCUAUUUCAUACUAAUUAAGCAUCUAACACUAAAAACAGAAAACACAACUUUUAUACAUCCAUUAAAAAACUAAAAAAACAAGAUUAUAUAAAAAAAUUCCAUACUAAUUAAACACUAAUUAUAUCCAUCUAACAUGCAUUCAUAUAUAUAUACUAGUGAAAAAAUAAUGAUCUAAAAAAUCUAAACUAAUUAAACAUACAAGAUACGUAUAUACUAAUAUAUACAUGCAUUAAUUCAUACAUAUGUACGUGUGUGUGUGUGUGUGUUCAUCAUGCUUGUGUGUGUGUAUGGGCUCGGGGAGGGGCGGCGCCCAUGGUGGCCGCCGNNNNNNNNNNNNNNNNNNNNNNNNNNNNNNNNNNNNNNNNNNNNNNNNNNNNNNNNNNNNNNNNNNNNNNNNNNNNNNNNNNNNNNNNNNNNNNNNNNNNNNNNNNNNNNNNNNNNNNNNNNNNNNNNNNNNNNNNNNNNNNNNNNNNNNNNNNNNNNNNNNNNNNNNNNNNNNNNNNNNNNNNNNNNNNNNNNNNNNNNNNNNNNNNNNNNNNNNNNNNNNNNNNNNNNNNNNNNNNNNNNNNNNNNNNNNNNNNNNNNNNNNNNNNNNNNNNNNNNNNNNNNNNNNNNNNNNNNNNNNNNNNNNNNNNNNNNNNNNNNNNNNNNNNNNNNNNNNNNNNNNNNNNNNNNNNNNNNNNNNNNNNNNNNNNNNNNNNNNNNNNNNNNNNNNNNNNNNNNNNNNNNNNNNNNNNNNNNNNNNNNNNNNNNNNNNNNNNNNNNNNNNNNNNNNNNNNNNNNNNNNNNNNNNNNNNNNNNNNNNNNNNNNNNGCCGACGGGGACGCGGGCGGUGACGGCGACGGCGUCGAUCGAUCGGGGCGCACGGGCGGUGCUUCAAUGGGGAAACAGGGGAAGAAAUAGAGGGAGAAUAAAAUUUUCGUAAGUGUUGUAUAGCACCUUUAGUACCAGUUGGAGCCACCAACCGGUACUAAAGGCCUGUUUUGGCCAGGCCAAGCGGCGGGAACCGCACCCCCUUUAGUACGGGUUGGUGGCUCCAACCGGUACUAAAGGCCCCCCUUUAGUACCGGUUGGUCCACGAACCGGUACUAAAGGGGGUGCGCUGGCGCAGGUGCGGUGCGUAAGUUUAGUCCCACCUCGCUAGCCGAGGGGCGACCGUACUGGUUUAUAAACCCCCGUGCGUAGCUCUUUCGAGCUCCUCUCCAAAGCAGGCCUAUUGGGCCUACAUGUUCUGUGCGGCCAUGUUGGCCUAUUGGGCCUUUGCGGGCCUGCAUCCUGGCCCAACAACAGGUUGGGUUUCUAGUCGUAUGCAGGCCGUUCUGGCCUAGUAGGCGGGCUUUUUUUAUUUUUUUUUGCUUUAAUUUUUUUUUGAGUUGUUUUUUUUGUGUAUUUAGAGUUUCUUUGUGAAUAUUUUUGCUUUAGGUACAAAAAAUUACAAACUUUCUGUUAGUGCCCGUAGUUUUCAAAUGUGAAUAGUUUAAAUUUUGAAUUAUUUGAAAUUAGUGUGAAUCACUAGUUUGUGAAUAACUUAACUUUAAAAAUCAGUAAAGGCAUGAAAGAAUUUGUUUGCACAUAAAAUUUCUUCGCGUUUCAAAUGCCAAAACACAUAAUUAACUACCCUAACUAUUACAGAGAUUCCCUUCUGGGUGUGAAACACAGAAGAAAGUGAUGAUAGUGAAGCCGAUCACAUCCCAGAUCUUUGGGUGUGAAACUUUUUCUUCGUGUGUGUCCCUUUGCGCCGUAACCAUGGAAAAUCUUCAUCAUUUAACGGGAUGCUCGGGUCAAUAUGUUGGGGAACGUUGCAGAAAACAAAAAUUUUCCUACGGUUUCACCAAGAUCCAUCUAUAAGUUCAUCAAGCAACGAGUAAUUAGAUGCAUCUACGUACCUUGUAGAUCGCGAGCGGAAGCGUUCAAAGAACGGGGAUGAGGUAGUCGUACACGACGUGAUCCAAAUGACCGGAGAUCCUAGCACCGAACGGACGGCACCUCCGCGUUCAACACACGUACGGAACAGCCACGUCUCCUCCUUCUUGAUCCAGCAAGGGGGAAGGAGAGGUUGAGGGAGAUGGCCCCAGCAGCAGCACGACGGCGUGGUGUUGAUGGAGCUGCAGUACUCCGGCAGGGCUUCGCCAAGCACUAUGGAGGAGGAGGAGGUGUUGGAGAGGGAGAGGGAGGCAACCAAAGGCCAAGGUAAGAAGUCCCCCAUAUCCCCCACUAUAUAUAGGAGGGCCAAGGGGGGGGGGCGGCCCUAGGAGAUCUAAUCUCCUAGGGUGGUGCGGCCAAGGGGGAGGAAUCCCUCCUCCCCAAGGCACCUAGGAGGUGCCUUCCCCUCCUAGGACUCUUCCUCCUUGAAACCCUAGGCGCAUGGGCCUCUUGGGGCUGGUGCCCUUGGUCCAUGUAGGCCAAGACGCACCCCCUACAGCCCAUGUGGCCCCCCGGGACAGGUGGCCCCACCCGGUGGACCACCGGGACCCUUCCGGUGGUCCCGGUACAAUACCGAUGACCCCGAAACUUGUCCCGAUGGCCGAAAUAGAACUUCCCAUAUAUAAAUCUUUACCUCCAGACCAUUCCGGAACUCCUCGUGACGUCCGGGAUCUCAUCCGGGACUCCGAACAACAUUCGGGUUACUGCAUAUACAUAUCCCUACAACCCUAGCAUCGCCGAACCUUAAGUGUGUAGACCCUACGGGUUCGGGAGACAUGCAGACAUGACCAAGACGACUCUCCGGUCAAUAACCAACAGCGGGAUCUGGAUACCCAUGUUGGCUCCCACAUACUCCACGAUGAUCUCAUCGGAUGAACUACGAUGUCGAGGAUUCAAGCAACCCCGUAUACAAUUCCCUUUGUCAAUCGGUAUGUUACUUGCCCGAGAUUCGAUCGUCGGUAUCCUAAUACCUCGUUCAAUCUCGUUGCCGGCAAGUCACUUUACUCGUACCGUAAUGCAUGAUCCAGUGACCAGACACUUGGUCACUUUGAGCUCAUUAUGAUGAUGCAUUACCGAGUGGGCCCAGUGAUACCUCUCCGUCUCACGGAGUGACAAAUCCCAGUCUUGAUCCGUGUCAACCCAACAGACACUUUCAGAGAUACCUGUAGUGCACCUUUAUAGUCACCCGGUUACGUUGUGACGUUUGGUACACCCAAAGCACUCCUACGGUAUCCGGGAGUUACACGAUCUCAUGGUCAAAGGAAAAGAUACUUGACAUUGGAAAACUCUAGCAAACGAACUAUACGAUCUUGUGCUAUGUUUAGGAUUGGGUCUUGUCCAUCACAUCAUUCUCCUGAUGAUGUGAUCCCGUUAUCAAUGACAUCCAAUGUCCAUAGUCAGGAAACCAUGACUAUCUGUUGAUCAACGAGCUAGUCAACUAGAGGCUUACUAGGGACAUGUUGGUGUCUAUUAUUCACACGUGUAUUACGAUUUCCGGAUAAUACAGUUAUAGCAUGAAUAAAGACAAUUAUCAUGAACAAAGAAAUAUAAUAAUAAUACUUUUAUUAUUGCCUCUAGGGCAUAUUUCCAACACAAUAUUCACUAUGAAUGGAGCAAUUUCAUCAAACUUUUCAUAAUCUUCUGACUUGUCUGUCUUGUCAUCCACUCCCACGAUGUUUCUCUUCUCAGAAAGAACUAUGUGCCCCUUUGGCUCAUCGUACGAUGCAUUCGCUUUCUUAUCUUUUCUUUUUAUUGGCUUGGUAGACAUGUCCUUCACAUAGAAAACAUGUGCCACAUCAUUGGCUAGGACGAAUGGUUCGUUUGCAUACGCAAGAUUGUUGAGAUCCACUGUUGUCAUUCCGUACUGCGGGUCUUCCGUUACCCCGCCUCGUGUCAUAUUGACCCAUUUGCACCGAAACAAAGGGACCUUCAAACCACAGUCCAUAGUCAAUUUUCCAUAUGUCCUGUAUAUAACCAUAAUAUGUUUCCUUUCCCGUCUUGGUUUCUGCAUCAAAGCGGACACCACUGUUUUGGUUGGUGCUCUUCUUAUCUUGGGUGAUCGUGUAAAAUGUAUUACCAUUUAUCUCGUACCCUUUGAAAGUCAUUAUAUUCGAAGAUGGUAACUGAGACAGCAAGUACAGGUCAUCUUCAAUAGAGGUGUCAUGCAUGGUACAUGUCUGCAACCAGCUGGCGAAACUCCUGGUUUGUUCACGUGUAAUCCAGUCAUCAGACCGCUCCGGGUGUUUGGAGCGUAGCAAAUUCUUGUCUUCAUCCAUAUACGGAGCCACCAAGGCAGAAUUCUGUAGAACUGUGUAGUGUGCUUCAGUGAGAGAAUGUCCGUCCAUACAUAUUAUUUGUUCCCCCCCCCUAGCAUGCCUUUUCCAUCCAUUCUGCCCUUAUGCCGCGAUUCAGGAACACCAAUCGGCUUAAGGUCAGAAAUAAAGUCAAUACAAAACUCAAUGACCUCCUCAUUUUGACGGUCCUUGGAGAUGCUUCCUUCUGGCCUAGCACGGUUAUGAACAUAUUUCUUUAAGACUCUCAUGAACCUCUCAAAGGGGAACAUAUUGUGUAGAAAUACAGGACCCAAAAUGUUAAUCUCUUCGCAUAGGUGAACUUGGACGUGCGUCAUGAUGUUGAAGAAGGAUGGUGGGAACACCAACUCGAAACUGAUAAGACAUUGCACCAAAUCAUUCUCUAACCUUGGUAUGAUUUCUGGAUCGAUUACCUUCUGAGAGAUUGCAUUGAGAAAUGCACAUAGCUUCACAAUGGCUAAAAUAAUCAACUUGUGACAUACAAUAAGUCAAUGAUAAAUAGGUUUAUGUAUAAAUACAUUUGUAAUGCAUAAUAAUUUAUCAGUUUAAUCAUAUAAAGAGUAAAAUUUGACCACUUAUUUGGCUUUUAUGUUGGAUAAUUGGAAUAUUGGGCCUAGAAUUUUAAAAAUUACCUCACAUAAUCUUAUUCGGAUACGGAUAUAUCCACUUCCAUAUCUAUAUUUGUGUCAAAAUCUCCUACCAUAUUUUAUUUUUUAUUUGUUUAAUAAAUUCGGAUACGGAUAAUUUUCAUUUUCAUUUUGGUUCGGAUGCGGAUGUUUCGAAUACAAAUAGGCAUUUUCUCGAAUACGAAUAUCGGAUAUUUCGGAUUAUCCGCUACCACUUUCCACCCCUACACAAUUGUAACACGCCCACUACCACCUCCUCCUCCCCUUCGUUUAUAUCACGCGCGCGUGAUAAAACUAGGCUAUAGUUAAUUAGGUGAUGGUGAUGGUGGUGGGAAGAAGUUAGUGUUAACCGAUCCCCAAGUGGGGAGAUUUCAUCACCCUUGGAAAGGAGAAGCAAGAAAGUAAAUAAUACUCCCUCCAUUCCAAAAUAUAGUGCGCCCGCGCUUUUCGAGGUCCAACUUUGACCAUAAGUUUAACCAACGAGACCAACUGCGGCGGGAGAAAAAAUUAUAUAAUUGAAAACUUCAUUCGAAUACGAGUUCACUAAUAUAAUUUUUGCUCCCACCGCAAUUGGUCUUGGCAGUUAAAUUUACGGUGAAAGUUGAAGCAUGUGGAUAAAGGAAGCACUACAUUGUGGAAUGAAGAGAGUAUACGUGGUGAAAACUGGGAGCAUGAUACAUGAUCUGAUGGCGUUCCUUCGGGCAAAGGAUAAGCGUUCGUUGGACUUGAGUGUAUUGGAGACGCUCUGGCCACUGGGGUUAGGUUAUGUGAUGCCAAUGUCAAUCACAUGUUGGAAUGCUGCACAACCCACAUGAACCCUGCCUGGUGCUCCGGCGCACCGCGCAAAUAGUUGUUCAAGUUGCGCACUAGUCCCGGCCAAAAGGUCUCUCAGAUUUUGUUCGUGGACGUUAACGUACUCAUCCACCUGAUCGACGUAACAGUUAUGUGUAGCCAGCGAGCCGUAGUCGACAAGAUCAGCAUGCCGCCACUUGUCAACUCUUCACCGGGCUGACGAAGUAUUUUCUUAGAAAAGAAGGAUGAACCCCGGCCUCUGCAUCUGGGAGAUGCAUGCGGUUAUUUUAUUGAUUAUUCUCGAGGAUCUUACAAAGUAGAACAACAAUAUGCCUGAAUCCACCAUCUUGACAAUAUCUGUCGCUACUUCUAUCCAAAUGAUGAAGGGAUGCAAGCUGGGCCUCAUACCCAGACCUCUCACCUAAACCUAACAUCUAAAAUCGAAGGCCCCGACCGAGCCAUCUGCCGGAUCCGGGGCUCAAAACGGUCCGACGCAUUCACAUGUGUCGUCGCCGCCAUCUUUCACUGGUCCAUCUUCAAAGCAAAUAGAUGUGACAACCUUGACAGGUUUUUCGCCAUCGACGCCCAGUGGCGGAGCCAGGAUUUCCCGAACGCCCGCAACCCCGCGCUCUCCGUGCGCUCACCGCAACCGCCGCCCUCACUCCCCUGCUUGGCCGCGCGCACUCGCGCGCGCCCUCGCCGCGGCCCCCUGUACCGCCCCAGUCAUCGUCCNNNNNNNNNNNNNNNNNNNNNNNNNNNNNNNNNNNNNNNNNNNNNNNNNNNNNNNNNNNNNNNNNNNNNNNNNNNNNNNNNNNNNNNNNNNNNNNNNNNNNNNNNNNNNNNNNNNNNNNNNNNNNNNNNNNNNNNNNNNNNNNNNNNNNNNNNNNNNNNNNNNNNNNNNNNNNNNNNNNNNNNNNNNNNNNNNNNNNNNNNNNNNNNNNNNNNNNNNNNNNNNNNNNNNNNNNNNNNNNNNNNNNNNNNNNNNNNNNNNNNNNNNNNNNNNNNNNNNNNNNNNNNNNNNNNNNNNNNNNNNNNNNNNNNNNNNNNNNNNNNNNNNNNNNNNNNNNGCUAACGCCCGCCUCCCCUCUUCCCUGCCCGUGGUGACUGACCAAGGCCGGUCGCCGUUCGGUCCGGCCGCACCUCUCCACGGCCCCGGCGCCCUCCUCCGGUGGCCGCCGCUUCACCACGGCACCGCUCCGCCCGUGGCCUCGCCGUGGCCAUGGCCACCCGCGCCUGGCGCCUCCACUGGCCUGUGCAGGCGCCCAAUCGGGCUACGGGUUGCGCCUGCACCCCCCUGCACACGACGCCCGUUAGACCGAACCGAUAAGGCCUUUGGCCCACUGAUAAAGGGGCCCCAGCCCUAGGACAAAAAUAAAUAAAUAAAUAAAAAUAAAUAAUAAAAUUAAUAACAAUAAUAAUAAAUAUUAAUUAAUUAACCAGAUUAAUUAACUUAAUUAAUUGAGUUUAAUUAAUCUAAUCAAUUAACUAAACUAAUUAACCUCCUUAGUUAGUCUUAGACAAUGACAGUAGGACCCACAUGUCAGUUUGACUAAGUCAACUGACUAGUUGACUGCUGACAUCACCCUGACAUCAUGCUGACGUCAUAAUUGCAAUUUCUAAUUAAAUUAAUUCUGUUAAUUCUAAAAAUAAAUUAAAUCUUUAAAAAUUAAUAUAAAUUAAACUGUAGCUCGGAUGAAAAAACUUUGUACAUGGAAGUUGCUCAGAACGACGAGACGAAUUCGGAUAUGCAACCCGUUCGUCCACCACACAUCUCUAAUAUACCAAACACGCAACUUUUUCCCUCUGAUUCAUCUGUCCGAAAACGCGAAACACCGGGGAUAUUUUCCCGGAUGUUUUCCCCUUCGUCGGUAUCACCUACUACCGCGAUUGGGCACACCUAGCAUCGAUACUUGUCAUGUCAUGCAUCGUCAUGCAUCUGUUUGCAUUGUAUUCAUUGUUUCUUCCCCCUCUUCUUCCGCUAGACACCGAGACCGAUGCUGCUGCUGCCCAGUUCGACUACGGAGUUGACGACCCCUCCUUCUUGCCAGAGCAACCAGGCAAGCCCCCCCCUUGAUCACCAGAUAUCGCCUAUUCUACUCUAUACUUCUUGCAUUAGAGUAGUGUAGCAUGUUACUGCUUUCUGUUAUACCUAUUCUGAUGCAUAGCCUGGCCUUGUUACUACUGUUGUUACCUUUACCUGUAAUCCUAUAUGCUUAGUAUAGGAUGCUAGUAUAUUCAUCUGUGGCCCUACAUUCUUGUCCGUCUACCGUGCUAUACUAUCGGGCCGUGAUCACUCGGGAGGUGAUCACGGGUAUAUACUAUAUACUUUAUACAUGAUACAUGUGGAGACUAAAGUCGAGUCGGCUGGUGGAGCACCCGCGAGUGGAUCUUUGUGGCGGAGCGACAGGGCAGGUUGAGACCGCCUAGGAGAGAGGUGGGCCUGGCCCUGUUCGGCGUUCGUGGAUAUUUAAAACGCUUAACGAGAUCUUGGUAUUUGAUCUGAGUUGGCUACGAGCCUAUACGCACUAACCAUCUACGUGGGAGUAGUUAUGGGUAUCCCGACGUCGUGGUAUCAGCCGAAGCACUUCAGACGUCAGCGACGGAGCGGCGCGCCCCGGAUUGGACUGGAACGCCUGCUAGGUUAGGUCUACUUCUGGCCGCCCUCGCAACGUGCAGGUGUGCUAUGGGCGAUGGGCCCAGACCCCUGUGCGCUUAGGUUUAGACCGGCAUGCUGGCCUCUCUGUUUUGCCUAGGUGGGGCUGCGACGUGUUGAUCUUCCAAGGCCGGGCAUGACCCAGGAAAGUGUGUCCGGCCAAAUGGGAUCAAGCGUGUUGGGUAAGUUGGUGCACCCCUGCAGGGAAGUUAAUCUAUUCGAAUAGCCGUGAUCUUCGGUAACAGGACGACUUGGAGUUGUACCUUGACCUUAUGACAACUAGAACCGGAUACUUAAUAAAACACACCCUUCCAAGUUCCACAGACAACCCGGUGAUCGCUUUUCCACAGGGCGACGAGGAGAGGAUCGCCGGGUAGGAUUAUGCUAUGCGAUGCUACUGGAGAUGCUACUUGGAGAUGCUACUUGGAGGACUUCAAUCUACUCUCUUCUAUAUGCUGCAAGACGGAGGCUGCCAGAAGCGUAGUCUUCGACAGGAUUAGCUAUCCCCCUCUUAUUCUGGCAUUCUGCAGUUCAGUCCACUGAUAUGGCCCUUUACACAUAUACCCAUGCAUAUGUAGUGUAGCUCCUUGCUUGCGAGUACUUUGGAUGAGUACUCACGGUUGCUUUCUCCCCCCUUUUUUCCCCUUUCCUUUCUUCCUGGUUGUCGCAACCAGACGUUGGAGCCCAGGAUCCAGACGCCACCUUCGAUGACGACUACUACUCUGGAGGUGCCUACUACUACGUGCAGCCCGCUGACGACGACCAAGAGUAGUUAGGAGGAUCCCAGGCAGGAGGCCUACGCUUCUUUCGAUCUGUAUCCCAGUUUGUGCUAGCCUUCUUAAGGCAAACUUGUUUAACUUAUGUCUGUACUCAGAUAUUGUUGCUUCCACUGACUCGUCUAUGAUCGAGCACUUGUAUUCGAGCCCUCGAGGCCCCUGGCUUGUAUUAUGAUGCUUGUAUGACUUAUUUAUGUUUUAGAGUUGUGUUGUGAUAUCUUCCCGUGAGUCCCUGAUCUUGAUCGUACACAUUUGCGUGCAUGAUUAGUGUACGAUUGAAUCGGGGACGUCACAAGUUGGUAUCAGAGCCGACUGCCUGUAGGAAUCCUCCUUCCACACUCCUUGGCCGAAGUUAAAUGAAUUUGCUAACUCUAAGAUUAGGAUCUCGUGAUCGCAUCCACCCGAAGAUCGCCUUAUUGCAGAGGAUCGCCUGCUACAUGAGAAGAUUCCGAAAAUACUCUCUGAUGUUCUCUCGAGACUUGUGCCCAUCACUUUGGCUAUUCCUGACCACCGAUAAAUCCGUAUGGAUAACUACUUACACUUGACAUUCUUACGAUCAUCCCCCAUUGAUCUUGUUAUUACAAGAUACCCCGAAGUUUUCUCUAUUGUUCCGAGAAUACUUUGUGCCUACUGCCUAGCAGUUCUUUGCCACAUGAAUACCCCUUCGAAUAAAUCCUCGCACUUGUCGAGUAUCCGCUCAUCCCCAGUUGUUCAGGUGUUUCACAAAAGUCUUCGAAAUAAUAUUCGAUCUUCCGAAAAUCCUUUGGGGCCUUUGGCUCUUGAAAUUCUUGCUUGCUUGCAUUAUGGAUAAUCCCAUAAGUCUCGUAGUCAUAUUGACAUUCCUUGUCAUUACCAUUUUGAGUCUGUUGACUCAAUAUGUUUGCGAAUACACGCAAUCAUCAUUGAUCCUUAUAAAUUACUUUUCCGGCUGAGCUGCCAUUCUUUUUACUGGAAUUGGUUCUUGACCAAUCCAAUUGUCUUUGAUUGUACCCUACGGCUAUUCAACUUAUCCACCCCAAAUCAGAGCAUUGCUUCUGAACCCUUGAUUUGGAAAUCAUAAUUCCUUUGCAUUUGACAAUUGAGUUAGUCAGUUGUUUCUAUAAUCUGCUUCCUCUAGUUGAGUACCGAUGCUCACGUCAGAUCCCUUGUGGACCACCAGAUCCUUUGUUGGAUUUUAUCUGACAACGCCCUUCAUAUUCAAUAAACUUGUGAGCCUUUUCUCGGAUACAUAAUGCCUUUGGUAAAUUGUAUCGUCUGCUUUCUCAACCAUGCUCUGCCUUCGAGCUUGAGUUAAUUACUUCUAAAAGAUUCUGGUAUAGGAUUCUAAGAUGCCCCGAUGGGUUGAACCUAUGCCUUCCUUAAUAUGUGUGAACUCGAAAGUUUUCACGAGUCGUACUCUUCUGGUAUUUUGCCAGAUAAAAUUUCAAUGCUAUAACUUCAUCGAAAGUGAGAAGUGAAUGAAAGGGUAUGCAUUGGAGAAGUGGGAGUCGACCUUGAACUUUGUGUUCAUGCCCAUGGACACGAUGUAUAUCCUAUCAUGGAAGCUUCUUGUAACAAUAACUAUUUCCUUGAUAACUAACAUAUGGUAUCUGUGAAUUGAUCCCUUGCAACCGUGGUUCCGACCAUGAUUGUUCUUCUUUGAUCUCAUUUCUCGGACAAGUUAAAACAAUUGUCUCCUAUGGAUCAAUACACCAGUCCAACCUUUACUUUGAUCUUGUGUCGAGUAUUACCCCCCUGGUAUCUCGAGAUUAUCAUGGAACUGCAUAACUCCUUAUGAGUUCUUCAUCAAGUGCUACCUUCCCACUAAUUCCAAUUUUUCACAGGCUCUGAGUUAAUAAACACUCAAAGACACCGAUAACGGAACCGAGUCCGCACUACGGUUCAACAACUCUUCAGUAAGCUUCUAUAAGUACGAGUUUGUACCCGAUCACGCCAUUCCUAGCCUGUUUGGCUAUAUCAUUGUCGUGAUGAUUUUAACUGUGCUACCCGGUCCUUCUUCUCGGAGCACAAUUUUCGACGAUGAACUAACCUUACGUCGAUCCUCAUCGUCAUACCAUUUCGCCUUGAACAACAAGCUUGGUUUCGAGUUGUGUCGUACCCUUGGUUCCAAUAACCUUUCACUUCAUCAUUACUUUGACUUGAUGUCGUCGCCGAUCGAUUACAUCUUCAUGAACUCUCGCGACAAAGGUGUCGUGAUCAUCAACAUUCUGAGCUCAUCCAGGAUAUCAAUUGAAUUCAUGAUGAGAAAUACCAUCCUUGCCCUCGAUGAAUUGUAUUAUCAUCGACCACUUUAUUGCCUUCCCACCAACACAAGCUUGUUCAUGCUUGGUGUUAUACCUUUAGUUCCUUGCUAUCCAGCAAUUGUUCUUCUUAACCUUGGAAUAUUGCCAUCUUUUAUGUCAAGGAGGUCGUGGGAAUUUCACCACCUCUUAAGAAUUCUUGGUAUGGUGAUACUUCCCACCAUCACCAUUCUUUCUUGGGUCCUCGUGUUGAUUCCAACCGGGGUACCCACAAGUGAACGGUGUUGUUUGGAUUCUGCACUUCUAGCAACCCAAUUGCUUUGGAGUUAAUGAUCGAUAAUUCGUUCUUAGCCUAUCAGUUGCUGAACCACCAUUCUAACGCUGAUCAUGCUACUAUAAGCCCAUAUUUCGGGUGCACUUUUCAACCAAUUUUUAAUUGUGUAUGUUUUUCUCGAGCUUACAUCAUUAUAUCAUUUGAUCCGACAAAUGUUAUCUCCUUGUUCACAUAACUGUGGAAAUCCACAUUUUUGGAUACCUCGUUGAAUUAUCACUGAGUCCAUCAGCCACCCCCUCAUCCUCUCCUUGGCUUAAUGAUGAAUCCCUUCGUGUAUCCAGAGUCUGAUCUUUGCUUGAAGACCAUGCCAAUGCUAUCUCUAAGCAUGUCUGUGGUACUCCAAUUUUCAACAAAAACAUUUGAAGCCCAAUGCUAAAUGUUUUCUUGCUCAAUUAUCCAAACACCGCUGUAUGGGUAAUGUCAUGCAAUUUCUCUCCCCUGCCUAAAGAAUUUUCUACAUUAUAUCCUUUCAUGGAUAUCAUGCUCUGAUUGUUCUUGGGAAGGAUAUACCCCUGAAAUAUGUGUUUAAACACAUUUUCUUUCCAAUGUUCUGAUUAAAUCUGAUGGACACUUUUCCCUUUCCAUUGGUUUUCUUAACCCUUCUUGUGAUCUAUAUUAUAUAAGCAGUAGUAAUCUUCUGCUUAUGUAGCACACCUUGGUGUACAACCGUGUCAGUAAGACCCUGUUUCUACUGUGGAUGACAUUCCGGUAGCCACCGAUGGACGGGAACCUUGCCUAUUGGUCUGCCUCGUUCAACGAGCAGGAAAAUGGUUCUCUUCGUCCCUCGCCCUUGGUAUCGACGUUGUUGCCGACUUAAUCGACAGGCUACCCCCUGACAUGCCUUGCUUGCAUGAUCACGCAAGACGUCUCCGCCCUUCCUACUUUUAACCACAUGGUGGGCCCAUAACCCACAGUUCCAUAGGAUCGAAACCUGACUCUCCUGUACACCCUGUUCUCAAACUUAUUCCCCACGCUUGACUUCGUAUGUAAUUCACGGGCCACCUGCCUAGUGAUCUAUUCUGGUAUCAGGCGCAAUACUUAUUCCCAUUGCUCUGAACCCCUUCACAUUUCGUAUCAGGCAACAAAUGAUUGCAUAUCCACUUGAAACUUCUUAUUGCACCUUCGUACCUUGCUCUCGAUAUUUUCUUCAGUUUCAAUUCGAGAGUUACUUUCUACCACCUUCCCCGAUGUUAUCGACCAGGUAGUCAACCUUGUAGAGGUCCGCUCUCUCGGAAUAACCACCCUUUAUUCUUUCGUAAGAACGAUGGAGAUCUCGAAGAAAGGAAGCCGACUUCAUCAUGAUGACUGAAGCAUAGGGAUGAAGACAUCAAUGUUAUGGAUCGACCUCUUCGAGAAGAGCAACAACGAUCAAGAAGAAUCACUAGGAUUUCGUAACCUAUUCUUCCCCCUUACACACCUCUUAAAUCUCGGGACGAGAUUUCUUGUAGUGGAGGAGAAUUGUGACGCCCGGAUAAUCAAGCUACACUAACCUCUGCUAAUGAUGCCAUGUCACCACUCUUACAGUCGUAAAUCUCACGAUGAUUCAAUCCCAUUCGAAUUCAAAAUUCAAAAUCAGGUCAAACGGUAAAGUUUUCAAACAUUAAAAUUUAAAUGUUCUAGGGGUGGCAAAUAAUGCUUAGGUAAUUAUGGUGGAGGAUCACAUUUUUAUAAAAUAAUUAAAAGCACUAAACUAAAUAAAACAGUGGCUUAAACAAAUAAUUAAAUGCAUUUUAUAAAUAUUAAAACAUUAAACUAUUUUAUUAGGUAUGAGAAAUUCAUGUGGCAAUAGAGUAUUUAUAAAUACUAAUUUAGGGGCUAGUGGUAUAUUUUAUAAAACUAAAAGUAAAGUAAAACUAAUAUGAAAACAGAAACUAUAAAUAAAAUAGGAAAGAAAAAAAGCAAAGCAAAAGCAAAAAGAAAGAAGGAGACCCCCUGAUGUGCCGUGGCCCAGCUGGCCAUCGGGCCCCCAGGCCGGCCCAGUCGCCCCCCCUGUAUAACCCCCUCCCCACCGAACCCUAGACACCGACACACCCUCUCCCCCUCCCGAUCCAAUCUGGAUCAAGGGGAAAACCCCCCCACUCCACCUCGCUCUCUACCCCNNNNNNNNNNNNNNNNNNNNNNNNNNNNNNNNNNNNNNNNNNNNNNNNNNNNNNNNNNNNNNNNNNNNNNNNNNNNNNNNNNNNNNNNNNNNNNNNNNNNNNNNNNNNNNNNNNNNNNNNNNNNNNNNNNNNNNNNNNNNNNNNNNNNNNNNNNNNNNNNNNNNNNNNNNNNNNNNNNNNNNNNNNNNNNNNNNNNNNNNNNNNNNNNNNNNNNNNNNNNNNNNNNNNNNNNNNNNNNNNNNNNNNNNNNNNNNNNNNNNNNNNNNNNNNNNNNNNNNNNNNNNNNNNNNNNNNNNNNNNNNNNNNNNNNNNNNNNNNNNNNNNNNNNNNNNNNNNNNNNNNNNNNNNNNNNNNNNNNNNNNNNNNNNNNNNNNNNNNNNNNNNNNNNNNNNNNNNNNNNNNNNNNNNNNNNNNNNNNNNNNNNNNNNNNNNNNNNNNNNNNNNNNNNNNNNNNNNNNNNNNNNNNNNNNNNNNNNNNNNNNNNNNNNNNNNNNNNNNNNNNNNNNNNNNNNNNNNNNNNNNNNNNNNNNNNCGUUCGGUCCGGCCGCACCUCUCCACGGCCCCGGCGCCCUCCUCCGGUGGCCGCCGCUUCACCACGGCACCGCUCCGCCCGUGGCCUCGCCGUGGCCAUGGCCACCCGCGCCUGGCGCCUCCACUGGCCUGUGCAGGCGCCCAAUCGGGCUACGGGUUGUGCCCGCACCCCCCUGCACACGACGCCCGUUAGACCGAACCGAUAAGGCCUUUGGCCCACUGAUAAAGGGGCCCCAGCCCUAGGACAAAAAUAAAUAAAUAAAAACAAAUAAAAAAUAAAAUUAAUAACAAUAAUAAUAAAUAUUAAUUAAUUAACCAAAUUAAUUAACCAAAUUAAUUAACUUAAUUAAUUGAGUUUAAUUAAUCUAAUCAAUUAACCAAACUAAUUAACCUGCUUAGUUAGUCUUAGACAAUGACAGUAGGACCCACAUGUCAGUUUGACUAAGUCAACUGACUAGUUGACUGCUGACAUCACCCUGACAUCAUGCUGACGUCAUAAUUGCAAUUUCUAAUUAAAUUAAUUCUGUUAAUUCUAAAAAUAAAUUAAAUCUUUAAAAAUUAAUAUAAAUUAAACUGUAGCUCGGAUGAAAAAACUUUGUACAUGGAAGUUGCUCAGGACGACGAGACGAAUUCGGAUACGCAGCCCGUUCGUCCACCACACAUCUCUAACAUACCAAACACGCAACUUUUUCCCUCUGAUUCAUCUGUCCGAAAACGCGAAACACCGGGGAUAUUUUCCCCUUCGUCGGUAUCACCUACUACCGCGAUUGGGCACACCUAGCAUCGAUACUUGUCAUGUCAUGCAUCGUCAUGCAUCUGUUUGCAUUGUAUUCAUUGUUUCUUCCCCCUCUUCUUCCGCUAGACACCGAGACCGACGCUGCUGCUGCCCAGUUCGACUACGAAGUUGACGACCCCUCCUUCUUGCCAGAGCAACCAGGCAAGCCCCCCCCCCUUGAUCACCAGAUAUCGCCUAUUCUACUCUAUACUUCUUGCAUUAGAGUAGUGUAGCAUGUUACUGCUUUCUGUUAUACCUAUUCUGAUGCAUAGCCUGGCCUUGUUACUACUGUUGUUACCUUUACCUGUAAUCCUAUAUGCUUAGUAUAGGAUGCUAGUAUAUUCAUCUGUGGCCCUACAUUCUUGUCCGUCUACCGUGCUAUACUAUCGGGCCGUGAUCACUCGGGAGGUGAUCACGGGUAUAUACUAUAUACUUUAUACAUGAUACAUGUGGAGACUAAAGUCGAGUCGACUGGUGGAGCACCCGCGAGUGGAUCUUUGUGGCGGAGCGACAGGGCAGGUUGAGACCGCCUAGGAGAGAGGUGGGCCUGGCCCUGUUCGGCGUUCGCGGAUAUUUAAAACGCUUAACGAGAUCUUGGUAUUUGAUCUGAGUUGGCUACGAGCCUAUACGCACUAACCAUCUACGUGGGAGUAGUUAUGGGUAUCCCGACGUCGUGGUAUCAGCCGAAGCACUUCAGACGUCAGCGACGGAGCGGCGCGCGCCGGAUUGGACUGGAACGCCUGCUAGGUUAGGUCUACUUCUGGCCGCCCUCGCAACGUGCAGGUGUGCUAUGGGCGAUGGGCCCAGACCCCUGUGCGCUUAGGUUUAGACCGGCGUGCUGGCCUCUCUGUUUUGCCUAGGUGGGGCUGCGACGUGUUGAUCUUCCAAGGUCGGGCAUGACCCAGGAAAGUGUGUCCGGCCAAAUGGGAUCAAGCGUGUUGGGUAAGUUGGUGCACCCCUGCAGGGAAGUUAAUCUAUUCGAAUAGCCGUGAUCUUCGGUAACAGGACGACUUGGAGUUGUACCUUGACCUUAUGACAACUAGAACCGGAUACUUAAUAAAACACACCCUUCCAAGUUCCACAGACAACCCGGUGAUCGCUUUUCCACAGGGCGACGAGGAGAGGAUCGCCGGGUAGGAUUAUGCUAUGCGAUGCUACUGGAGAUGCUACUUGGAGAUGCUACUUGGAGGACUUCAAUCUACUCUCUUCUAUAUGCUGCAAGACGGAGGCUGCCAGAAGCGUAGUCUUCGACAGGAUUAGCUAUCCCCCUCUUAUUCUGGCAUUCUGCAGUUCAGUCCACUGAUAUGGCCCUUUACACAUAUACCCAUGCAUAUGUAGUGUAGCUCCUUGCUUGCGAGUACUUUGGAUGAGUACUCACGGUUGCUUUCUUCCCCCUUUUUUCCCCUUUCCUUUCUUCCUGGUUGUCGCAACCAGACGUUGGAGCCCAGGAUCCAGACGCCACCUUCGAUGACGACUACUACUCUGGAGGUGCCUACUACUACGUGCAGCCCGCUGACGACGACCAAGAGUAGUUAGGAGGAUCCCAGGCAGGAGGCCUACGCUUCUUUCGAUCUGUAUCCCAGUUUGUGCUAGCCUUCUUAAGGAAAACUUGUUUAACUUAUGUCUGUACUCAGAUAUUGUUGCUUCCACUGACUCGUCUAUGAUCGAGCACUUGUAUUCGAGCCCUCGAGGCCCCUGGCUUGUAUUAUGAUGCUUGUAUGACUUAUUUAUGUUUUAGAGUUGUGUUGUGAUAUCUUCCCGUGAGUCCCUGAUCUUGAUCGUACACAUUUGCGUGCAUGAUUAGUGUAUGAUUGAAUCGGGGGCGUCACAGUGGCCCCCUCCAGGAAAGGCAAGCCUCGUGCCCCGCGCAAGACCGCCGCGGCGACCAAGCCGAAGAAGGCGCUAACGCCCGAACAACGGGCAAGGGAGUCGGCCUAGAGGAAGGACCGGAGGCACGCCGCGGACGCGAGGGAUGAGGCCGCUGCGCAGGCCGCCACCGCCGCCGUGCAGCAGGAGUUCACCAACGCCCGCGUCGCCGCGGCAACGAGGGAUGCGCUCUACAUGCUUGGGGUAAACCCUAGCCAGCACAACCUCGUCCAAGCCGCCAUCGCCGCGGCCAGCACCGGCUCGUCGGCGUUUCCUCGGAUGGUGAUGCCCGACUCACCCCGCGCAUCGGUUUGCAACCCGGUCCCCGGCUUCCACGUCUACCCGUAGGCCUCCCUCCUCUCCGUGGAGUGCUCACCCGACAUGAGCGUGGUCGCGCCUUCCACACCCGCGCCCACGCCCAUCGACCUCAACGCCACCCCGGUGGUCGGUGGCUCGUCGUCUGGCGGCACGAGGAAACGUGCGCGACAGACGCCGGCCGGCGGUCUCCCGGACGCCCGUAACCUGUUCGAGGAAAUGCCGUCCGCCGUCCAUGAGGACUACAUGCAACACCUCAUCUUCGAGGGUGGUGCGCCGGGCGCUGGCUAUGAUCCCAAGGAGACGCAAAGCCAGGACGGCCGCGGGGCGUUCACACCGGCCGCUGGCUAUGAUCCCGAUCAGGCGGCCUUCAUGCAUGAUCAGGUCGGCAUCGACCUGGACGGCUUCUCCCUCGACCACGAGUUCCCAGACGACUAUGGGCUAGAGGAAGAGGACGAGUGCGACAUCGAAGUGGAGCCUUUGUUCGAGGAUGAGCUCGCCAACCAAACCGCAGGUCCUAAGCCGAAGCGCAAGAGCAAGCGCACGAAGGCGUACACAACUGCCGAGGACAAUCUUCUUUGCGAGUGUUGGCGAGACAUUGGACAAGACCCAAAGACGGGCGCCGAGCAAAAGCAUUCAACCUUUUGGACUCGUGUGCACCGCGAGUUUCAUGAGCGCAAGAAGUUCCCACCCUAUCAAUUUGUGAGCACGCGCGGGUGGGUCUCCAUUUCCAAGCGGUGGAGGGUGAUCCAACAAGAGUGCAACAAGUUUUGCGCCCUUGAGAGCGUCAAGGCCCGCCCCGUGAGCGGCAACGGCGUGCAAGACAUGGUAUGAUAGCAAGCAAGCCGCCCUCUUUUGUGCCAUCAAGAUCAUCCUUUUACGUCUUCAUUUUUCUAUCACUUGCCCAUAUGCUUGCAUGGAAAUAUUUUAUAGGCAUUUCAAGCUUUGGAGGCAUUCAAAGUUCAACACAAUGGCAAGUGCUUCAACCUCUCCCAUUGCUAUCGGGUCAUCAAGAACGAAGAGAAGUUCAAGGCACAAUAUGCCGCGCUCAAGGCACGUAGGGGAAAGGGCGCCGUGGAGGAUGUUGGGGAGGGCGAGCCGGCACGGCCGCGGGAGAAGACCAACUCCAAGAAGGAGUACAAGCGAGAUGCGGCCACCAACGCCUUGAUCGCAAGCGUGGACGGGAUGAUGAAUAAGAAGGACUCAAGAGAGGAGAAGCGCCGGUGUUUCAAGGCGGAGUAAAUGGAUGCUUUCAUGGAGAUCCAAAGGAGGAGGCUUGAUCUUGACGCCGAGAAGCAAGCCAAGAUGUUCGAGCUCGAGGCAAAGAAGCAAGCCAAGAUGCUAGAGAUCGAGGCCGCCAACGCCAAGACAAAGGCGAAAGAAGUGGCUCUUGCAAUCAUGAUGACCGGGGUGGAAAUCAUGAAGGUGGAUCUCAACGCCUUGUCGCCAAGGAAGAGGCCGUGGUUCGAGAAGAUGCAGGCCGACAUGCUCAAGUUCGACGACGAGUGAUCUAUGACGUCAAGGGGCCAUCUUUUUUGUAUGCCGGCAGGUGUACCGGCAUGACCACGGGAGUCGCGAUGGCGUGGUCGAACUCAAGUUCCACCAUUUUUUGUGUGUUGGCAUGUGUGCCGGCCGGCUGGCAAGUGCGCCAGCAUGAACUGUGGUGUUUUCUGAAGCCGGCAUUCUAUGCCGGCGCUGGCAUGGUGCCGGCAUAAGACAUGGCCGCUGGCAUGAUCGGCCGCGUGCCUUUUUUAUUUAAAAGUUAAACGCGGACAUGAAAUGGAUAAGCGCGUUGCACACAUUGCUGACUCAAAUGCAAAACUGGACGGACGGCAGGCAGGUGACCGAUCCAAACAGACAAAAAACAGAUAAAUACGCCGUCCGUUUGGGUCGCCCCUUUAGAAUUGCUAAUUAUUCCAAACCCAGUCGCGUAAGAGACGCAUGGAGAAGCUUGCAACCAACGUUGUGCACUUUGCGGCAGCAGGUGGUAGUAGCCUGGGCCUGGGAGGAGACGGUGCAUCGGCGGCUGGCGUUGCUGUCCGGCGGUAUGUGGCCUGGCCGGGAGGCAGAAUGGUGGCACCGAAAUUUUGUAGAAAUAAAAAAAUUAUAGAAAGUGAGAUGACAUGCAUCUCAAUUCCUACAGAGGAAAAGAUGUCAUUUGAUGCAUAAGAUAGGAAUUUUUUCAUUGAGUCUAGACUAAUGUUUUUUUCUUUUAAAAUGUGAAGGAUUGAUUCAUAUCCUACAUAGGAAUAGGAAUCCAUCACUACAAACCAAAGGACUUCAAAAAAAAUUCUUUCUAAAUCCUAUCCUAUAGAAUUUCUAUAAAAUUCCUAUAAACCAAACCAAAAGAGGCGUAACCGUGGCGUGGCGCCGGGCCAAAGGAAAAGGAGAGGGGAGGCAGGAGGGGGACAGGGGUGGAGCCCGCGGUGUUGGGCGUGGCGGCGGCAGGGGACGCUGCUAACAACGAUCACCCGCGCGCCCAUCAUCCCGCCUCACCAUCGCGUCCAUUCGCCCGUGUACCCUGCCGGUGUCCAUUCGUCCAACGAUCACAGCGGCCGGGGCCCCGGCGAAUUCAAUACGCCCUGGCUGAACGAGAGCUGGUACGUGCUCCGGUGGGGGACGUCGAUGGAUCGCCGGCGUAGCGAUGCGGGUGCAAAUUUGGUUUGUACGUGUACAUCCAUACGUAGGACGACGUCGCUCGCAGCCGAACUCACCACGCACAGCUUUGAAUUGCCUGUUUACAGAUGGAAAUAUCUUAACUGCGCCGUCACGAUGGCACACUCACCCAUCAUUCGUGCAUCCAGGCUAGUUUUCGAUUAGACAAUUUGAGCCGAGAGUCCUACUACUCAUUCUGACACGCCAAAGCUAGCUGAUGCGGGAGCCUGUGGCAACACAUGGUCUGUCUCGAAACUCGUCCUGGGAAAGCACUUCACUGUGAUCGAUCGUGUGCCGUUCUUGCUCGAGAUUCAUUCACGCUGGGUCAUGACCAGAUCUAGCAACUGCCAACAGCACGCAGCACGCUUUAGAGCCUCCCGCCAUUGAAAGCUCUUCAUGCUACUUCCAGUCCAGCGAUAAUGUGAUAUAUGCUCCUCUACAGGCAUUUCCAGCUGGCAAUGCAUAGCUAGGUAGUCGAACGAUGUGGAAUUAUGACAGGCACGUACGCCUUCACUGUCAUGAUCACUGAUCGAUCGUGCUAGGAUAAUUAGCUGUUCACGUGCAAGCUCGUCAUGGCUAAUCGGCUAUAUCUACCUAGCUCUGGCUAACAACCAUGCAUGGUCCUGUCCCGGUGCCGACAGACACAAAGCUAAACUCUUGUAGAGCACAGUAGGCUGUCUACGCACGGUUGGACGCGCGCACGUACGUAAGCAGUGCAUGCAUGAGUACCUGCGAUCGAGAAGACAAUCUUCUGCCAUAGUGCUCACGCAUUACACAUGUACAUGUACUACUCAGCUGCUGUUUCCCGAAAUAAGUACAUCAAAGAAAUCCACGAAUUAAUAAACAUGCAUAUAUGCCACGCCGGUCCUUGGAUUCGCAUGCUAAAUCGAACACGAGCCGAAUAUAUGGCAGGAACCUGCGAGCGUGUCCCUCCCUUUUCCCAUUUGGCCAUUUCCCACGUGGCGGCAGGGGUCGGUGAAUGAUCCUCCACCAAACCAGAGCCUCUCCCGCCCCAUCACCGCCAAAAGGCAGUGGGCCAGCGAACCCGAACCACCACCACACCGAGCGCUGCCGCGCCGGUCGCGGCGGAUCAUUGNNNNNNNNNNNNNNNNNNNNNNNNNNNNNNNNNNNNNNNNNNNNNNNNNNNNNNNNNNNNNNNNNNNNNNNNNNNNNNNNNNNNNNNNNNNNNNNNNNNNNNNNNNNNNNNNNNNNNNNNNNNNNNNNNNNNNNNNNNNNNNNNNNNNNNNNNNNNNNNNNNNNNNNNNNNNNNNNNNNNNNNNNNNNNNNNNNNNNNNNNNNNCACGCUCCCGGCCGAGCUUUGCUUCACGUACAGGAUGUUACAGGGAUGAGGGGUUUACAGGGCGUCAUGGUGGUUUUUAAUUGGUCGUUAGUAGAGGCAUGGGCCCACCCCCGUUGCAAUCAGGGGGGUGUAUUUAGAAAGUUUGGAAGGAACAUGUAGAAACCUGUAAAAGCUUGUACGUCUAGCAUUUUUGCUCCCGGCCCGGCGACGCCGCUCCUCUCCGGGCACUGGCGCAAGGAAAACGAGUCGCGCACACGCACGCUCUCGGAGGUCCGCCGAUCCGAUCAUCCACUACCUGGCGACGCACGGAUGUACGUACGUGCCCCGCACGUCCGGUGCACGUGGCGCCUAGUUGCGCGUCGCGGCGCGUGCUGGCCGGGGCGGGGCGAGCAACUGAGCUAGAGUAAAGUUUGUUUUAAACCUUAAACUCGUAGAGCUGGUCAGAAUCGGACCUUAAUCUUUUAAUCCCUAAAAUCGAUAUCCUCACAUCUCUAAUCCUGAUCAAAAUCAACCCUACACCGAUCCUAGACCUGUUUGUCGCACUGGAAAACUGCAAUCCCGGGCGGGAUUACAGGUUCACUGCAAGCCAUAUCCAUCUUCCCCUCGGCUGUGGCGCCGAGCGAUGCUGCAACAGCCAGCACUGCAAUCCAUGGCAAACUCCACGGCAUGCUCCGACACCCGCCGAGAUGCCGAAGCCGAGUCAGAGGCCGUGCUCUCGGGCCUACUCGCGCGUCCAUUGAACGGCAGCUAGCUGAGUUCCGCCGGUACAGAUCGAUCAAGCUAGCCGGCGUGUAAGUCAUCACGUACGUUAGCUAGCUCAUGGAAAAUCCAUCCACAUGUCCACCUGCUUCAAAGUCAGCUUCUACGUGAAUACGCUAGAAUACCCAAAUCGUCUGAGUCAGCUUUGCACAAUAGUGUUCGCCGCAGAGUACUCGGCGAGGACUGGGCGUCUUGAGGCUGUGCGUAAUUGCCCAUGGUGGCAUGCGCUGACACGGUCAUCGUCCUACGGCGGAACCAGCUCCGAGCUUUGUUCCUCACAAUCAAGAUGCAGUUCGCGCACGUGCAUGUACAAGUGCACAAGGUCCCUCGUGAGCUCUCCCCUGGUGAGAUGGAACCGCACCCUCAUCUUGUCGUGCUCCGCCGGCAUGCCGCUGCCAGGAGCAUGCCAGACACGUCUCAAGGAAGAACCCGAGCACCUUGGUCACCAGGUUCAUGGCGCGCCGCAGCACGUAGUCGCCAACUGAUGUGAUUACCGAGGACGUCAGGGUAAAAAAGGUGAGGCUGCCGAUUUCACGGAUUUAAACGUCAGGGUUCCGUUCGGACAAACUCUACAAGUUUAAGGUUUAAAAUAGACUUUAUCCAUUGAGCUAUAUGCAACGACAACGAUUUGGCACGCGCUGGUGGAGCGCACUGUUGCUACCCUUUCUACGUGUUUUUUUCCCUCUUUUCCUGGAUACCGACGUUUUUCUCUUCUCUUCUCUUUCCUACCAGUAUUUCCUAUGGACAUUUCUUCGUGCGUUUACGUACUUUGAGUGGGCCGGGUUCCGAUUUUCCGAGUCAUCAUUGGUGCCGACACAAGGAGCUGAUGUGAUUUCACUGUAGACCGCGGCACAUCGAUGGUAGCGAUCCACUACAGCCAUGGCACGGAAAUUUGGUAGUAAUGGGGACGGUUUUUUUUUUUUGAAAGCAAAUCUCUGCUUGAUUACUUAACGGUUCCUGGGUAAAUCACCCAGGAUACAAAUACCCACAUGGGCAGGUACAUCAGACGACCAUUCCAGAUGAUGAUCACACACACACAUGGCCAAUGCCGGCUAGCUCAUGUGCUAUAGAAUUUGCACUCCGCCUACAAACAAAAAUGGAGACCUCCGAAAACCACAUUUUUAGUUGGUAUUUCAUGUCCUCGAUCAGGGCUGCAUACGGCGAGGAGUCCGCCUUACGAAAGUCGAGCGCCUCAACCAGGAGCUGGGAAUCAGUCUCGAGUUCCACCCGCACCAGUCCUAGGUCAGACGCCAGGCUGAUUGCAUGGGCCAUAGCUAUUGCUUCAGCUGCAAACGCAUCCCCAAUGUUCGCCUCUCUGCCAGCCCGAGCGCAAAUCAGGUUGCCCUCAACCGUUCUCACAGCAGCACCCCACCCUGCGUGAUCUUGACCCGGUAAGAAGGAACCAUCAACAUUGAUCUUGUACAUAGUUUCCUUCGGUGGACACCAUCUAUCCGGCUGCUUCUUGUCCUGGACCUGGGUGAAUAUUUGUGAGUACUCGAUGACAUUGCUGCCGUUCUUCGUGCCACCACACUCGCCUCCAAAGGUAGUUCUCCCUCUCUCAGUUUGUUCCGGUUAGACCACCAUAACCACCAGAAAGUAAGCACGUGCAAGCGCUUAUUGACAUCUAGGCCCCAUAGGAAAUCAAGCAUUGCAUGCACAAACGUGACCUUCUCGAGCUGCAUCCUCUCCUUCUCCAUGGCCAAGUCUCUCCACACACCCUUCACUAUUUUGCACUUUAUGAAGAGGUGAGCUCCAUCCUCACCUGCCAACCCGCAGAAUAAACAUUUGGUACUCUCAAUAUGAAUUCCUUUCCGGGCAACAUUCACCCGAAGAGCAAGCGAAUCAUGCUUCAGUCUCCACGUGAACAUUUGUAUGUUCUUGGGGCAGGGUAGUCGCCAAAUCCGUUUCCAUGAAUCGUCAGGUGUUCAAUCAAGAUUGCCCGGAAUGCUGUCGCUUCCACCAACCCCUCCAUCAGACCGGAUUUUCUCAAGUUCCAUGUGAAGCUUACACGCACUUUUGACCGAAUGGAUGCCCUUGGUGUCAUACUGCCAUGCCACAAAAUCUGGGACUCCAUCCCGAAGAGGAAUUUGAAGUAUGUGCUUCACAUCGUCCGCCCAAAAAGUAUCUCGCACAAGCUGUUCGUCCCAAGCCCCAGUGAGCGGAUUAAUGAGAUCGCUGACCCACUCCAAGAUACUAGGACCGCGCGGGGUGAUGACACGUCUCGACCAGACUCGUGGAAUCCAGGGAUCCGACCAAAUGCGGACCUGUGUGCCAUCCCCAAUCCGCCAGAUGUAGCCCUCCCGGAAUAAACUUAGCCUCUGUAACAGACUUCGCCAGGCAUAGGAUAUGCCCUCCCUUGGGACCGCCUCAAAGAUGUUUCCAUUGGGAAAGUAGCGGGCCUGCAAAACCCUAGCACAGAGAGAUUCCGGGUUUUGAAUGAGUCUCCAAACUUGCCGGGACAACAUAGCUAAGUUAAAACCAUGCAUGUCCCGGAACCCCAAACCUCCCAGUGCUUUAGGUUUGAUAAGCUUCUUCCAGCUGAUCCAAUGAGUAGCAUGCUCCUUAUCAUAUUGGCUCCACCAAUAGUUCCCAAUCAGUGCACUCAGUUCCUCACAAAAAGAUUUGGUCAAGUAGAAGCAUGACAUAGCAAAUGUGGGGAUAGCUUGCGCAACAGUUGUAACCAACGUUUCUUUCCCGGACUUAGCAAUGAGCUUCUCCUUCCAGCCAUACACCCUCCCAGCCAACGCCCCCUUCACGAAGGCAAAGGCUUUUCUUUCUGGAUCUCCCAACAUGAACAUGGAGGCCAAGGUACUUUUCGUUCCAAGACUCACUUUGAAUCUGCAGCGCAUCCUUCACCUCAGUUUUAAUAACUUCACUAGUAUUUGGGCUAAACAUGACAACAGAUUUCUCCAAGUUGAUACACUGCCCAGAACAACUUGUUGGAAAUAUGCCCUAGAGGCAAUAAUAAAAGCAUUAUUAUUAUAUUUCUUUGUUCAUGAUAAUUGUCUUUAUUCAUGCUAUAACUGUAUUAUCCGGAAAUCGUAAUACACGUGUGAAUAAUAGACACCAACAUGUCCCUAGUAAGCCUCUAGUUGACUAGCUCGUUGAUCAACAGAUAGUCAUGGUUUCCUGACUAUGGACAUUGGAUGUCAUUGAUAACGAGAUCACAUCAUUAGGAGAAUGAUGUGAUGGACAAGACCCAAUCCUAAACAUAGCAUAAAGAUCGUGUAGUUCGUUUGCUAGAGUUUUUCCAAUGUCAAGUGUCCUUUCCUUAGACCAUGAGAUCGUGUAACUCCCGGAUACCGUAAGAGUGCUUUGGGUGUACCAAACGUCACAAUGUAACUGGGUGACUAUAAAGGUGCACUACAGGUAUCUCCGAAAGUGUCUGUUGGGUUGACACGGAUCGAGACUGGGAUUUGUCACUCCGUAUGACGGAGAGGUAUCACUGGGCCCACUCGGUAAUGCAUCAUCAUAAUGAGCUCAAAGUGACCAAGUGUCUGGUCACGGGAUCAUGCAUUACGGUACGAGUAAAGUGACUUGCCGGUAACGAGAUUGAACGAGGUAUUGGGAUACCGACGAUCGAAUCUCGGGCAAGUAACAAACCGAUUGACAAAGGGAAUUGUAUACGGGGUUGCUUGAAUCCUCGACAUCCUGGUUCAUCCGAUGAGAUCAUCGAGGAACAUGUGGGAGCCAACAUGGGUAUCCAGAUCCCGUUGUUGGUUAUUGACCGGAGAUUCGUCUCGGUCAUGUCUACAUGUCUCCCGAACCCGUAGGGUCUACACACUUAAGGUUCGGUGACGCUAGGGUUGUAGGGAUAUGUAUAUGCAGUAACCCGAAUGUUGUUCGGAGUCCCGGAUGAGACCCCGGACGUCACGAGGAGUUCCGGAAUGGUAUGGAGGUAAAGAAUUAUAUAUAGGAAGUGAUGUUUCGGGCAUCGGGACAAGUUUCGGGGUCACCAGUAUUGUACCGGGACCACCGGAAGGGUCCCGGGGGUCCACCGGGUGGGGCCACCUGUCCCGGGGGGCCACAUGGGCUGUAGGGGGUGUGCCUUGGCCUACAUGGGCCAAGGGCACCAGCCCCAAGAGGCCCAUGCGGCUAGGGUUUCAAGGGAGGAAGAGUCCUAGGAGGGGAAGGCACCUCCUAGGUGCCUUGGGGAGGAGGGAUUCCUCCCCCUUGGCCGCACCCCCCUAGGAGAUUAGAUCUCCUAGGGCCGGCGCCCCCCCCCCCCUUGGCCCUCCUAUAUAUAGUGGGGAGAUGGAGGACUUCUUACCCCUUGCCUUUGGUGCCUCCCUCUCCCUCUCCAACACCUCCUCCUCCUCCAUAGUGCUUGGCGAAGCCCUGCCGGAGUACUGCAGCUCCAUCACCACCACGCCNNNNNNNNNNNNNNNNNNNNNNNNNNNNNNNNNNNNNNNNNNNNNNNNNNNNNNNNNNNNNNNNNNNNNNNNNNNNNNNNNNNNNNNNNNNNNNNNNNNNNNNNNNNNNNNNNNNNNNNNNNNNNNNNNNNNNNNNNNNNNNNNNNNNNNNNNNNNNNNNNNNNNNNNNNNNNNNNNNNNNNNNNNNNNNNNNNGUGGGGCCACCUGUCCCGGGGGGCCACAUGGGCUGUAGGGGGUGUGCCUUGGCCUACAUGGGCCAAGGGCACCAGCCCCAAGAGGCCCAUGCGGCUAGGGUUUCAAGGGAGGAAGAGUCCUAGGAGGGGAAGGCACCUCCUAGGUGCCUUGGGGAGGAGGGAUUCCUCCCCCUUGGCCGCACCCCCCUCGGAGAUUAGAUCUCCUAGGGCCGGCGCCCCCCCCCCCCUUGGCCCUCCUAUAUAUAGUGGGGAGAUGGAGGACUUCUUACCCCUUGCCUUUGGUGCCUCCCUCUCCCUCUCCAACACCUCCUCCUCCUCCAUAGUGCUUGGCGAAGCCCUGCCGGAGUACUGCAGCUCCAUCACCACCACGCCGUCGUGCUGCUGCUGGAGCCAUCUUCCUCAACCUCUCCUUUCCCCUUGCUGGAUCAAGAAGAAGGAGACGUUACGCUGACCGUAUGUGUGUUGAAUGCGGAGGUGCCGUCCGUUCGGCGCUAGGAUCUCCGGUGAUUUGGAUCACGUCGAGUACGCCUUCCUCAUCCCCGUUCUUUGAACGCUUCCGCGCGUGAUCUACAAAGGUAUGUAGAUGCAAUCCAAUCACUCGUUGCUAGAUGAACUCAUAGAUGGAUCUUGGUGAAACCGUAGGAAAAUUUUUAUUUUCUGCAAUGUUCCCCAACAGUGGUAUCAGAGCCAGGUGUAUGUGUAGUUCUUCUUGCGCGAGUAGAACACAAUUUGUUGUGGGCGUUGAUGUUGUCAACUUUCUUGCCGCUACUAGUCUUAUCUUGCUUCAACGGUAUUGUGGGAUGAAGCGGCCCGGACCAACCUUACACGUACGCUUACGUGAGACCGGUUCCACCGACUAACAUGCACAAGUUGCAUAAAGGUGGCUGGCGGGUGUCUGUCUCUCCCACUUUAGUUGGAGAGGAUUCGAUGAAAAGGGUCCUUAUGAAGGGUAAAUAGAAGUUGACAAAUCACGUUGUGGCUUUCACGUAGGUAAGAAAACGUUCUUGCUAGAACCCUACUUCAGCCACGUAAAACUUGCAACAACAAUUAGAGGACGUCUAACUUUUUUUGCAGCAAGUGCUUUGUGAUAUGAUAUGGCCAAAGUUGUGAUGAAUGAUGAAUGAUCUAUAUGUGGGAAUUGACAAAGGGAAUUGCAUAGGGGGUUGCAUGAAUCCUCGACAUCGUGGUUCAUCUGAUGAGAUCAUCAUGGAGUAUGUGGGAGCCAACAUGAGUAUCCAGAUCCCGCUGUUGGUUAUUGACCAGAGAACGAUCUCGGUCAUGUCUACAUGUCUCCCGAACCCGUAGGGUCUACACACUUAAGGUUCAGUGACGCUAGGGUUGUAGGGAUAUGUAUAUGCAGUAACCCGAAUGUUGUUCGGAGUCCCGGAUGAGAUCCCGGAUGUCACGAGGAGUUCCGGAAUGGUCUGGAGGUAAAGAUUUAUAUAUGGGAAGUCCUGUUUCGGGCAUCGGGACAAGUUUCAGGGUUAUCGGUAUUGUAUCGGGACCACCGGAAGGAUCCCGGGGGUCCACCGGGUGGGGCUACCUGUCCCGGGGGGGCCACAUGGGCUGUAGGGGGUGUGCCUUGGCCUACAUGGGCCAAGGGCACCAGCCCCAAGAGGCCCAUGCGCCUAGGGUUACAAGGGGAAAGAGUCCUAGGAGGGGAAGGCACCUCCUAGGUGCCUUGGGGGGAGGGAAACCUCCCCUUGGCCGCCGCCCCACCCUAGGAGAUUGGAUCUCCUGGGCCGGCGCCCCCCUUGGCCCUCCUAUAUAUAGUGAGGGAAGGAGGGCUUUUCUCCCACGCCUUUGGUUGCCUCCUUCUCCCUCUCCAACACCUCCUCCUCCUCCAUAGCGCUUGGCGAAGCUCUGCCGGAGUACUGCAGCUCCAACAACACCACGCCGUCGUGCUGCUGCUGGUGCCAUCUCCCUCAACCUCUCCUUCCCCCUUGCUGGAUCAAGAAGAAGGAGACGUGGCUGUUCCGUACGUGUGUUGAACGCGGAGGUACUGUCCGUUCGGUGCUAGGAUCUUCGGUGAUUCGAAUCACGUCGAGUACGACUACCUCAUCCCCGUUCUUUGAACGCUUCCGCUUGCGAUCUACAAGGUACGUAGAUGCAUCUAAUCACUCAUUGCUAGAUGAACUCCUAGAUGGAUCUUGGUGAAACCGUAGGAAAUUUUUUGUUUUCUGCUACGUUCCCCAACAGUGGCAUCAUGAGCUAGGUCUAUGCGUAGUUCUUCUUGCGCGAGUAGAACACAAUUUGUUGUGGGCGUAGAUGUUGUCAACUUUCUUGCCGCUACUAGUCUUAUCUUGCUUCAACGGUAUUGUGGGAUGAAGUGGCCCGGACCAACCUUACACGUACGCUUACGUGAGACCGGUUCCACCGACUAACAUGCACAAGUUGCAUAAGGUGGCUGGCGGGUGUCUGUCUCUCCUACUUUAGUUGGAGGGGAUUCGAUGAAAAGGGUCCUUAUGAAGGGUAAAUGGAAGUUGACAAAUCACGUUGUGGCUUUCACGUAGGUAAGAAAACGUUCUUCCUAGAACCCUACUUCAGCCACGUAAAAUUUGCAACAACAAUUAGAGGACGUCUAACUUAUUUUUGCAGCAAGUGCUUUGUGAUAUGAUAUGGCCAAAGUUGUGAUGAAUGAUGAAUGAUCUAUAUAUGAUGUAUGAUAUGUUCAUGCUAUUGUAAUGAGAAUCACAACUUACAUGUCGAUGAGUAUGCCGGUGACAAGAUGAUCAUGGAGCCCCAAGAUGGAGAUCAAAGGAGCUGUGUGAUAUUGGCCAUAUCAUGUCACUAUUAUUAUUUGAUUGCAUAUGAUGUUUAUCAUGUUUUUCGUCUUGUUUGCUUAGAACGACGGUAGUAAAUAAGAUGAUCCCUCACAACAAUUUCAAGAAGUGUUCUCCCCUAACUGUGCACCGUUGCUAAAGUUCGUCGUUUCGAAGCACCACGUGAUGAUCGGGUGUGAUAGAUCCUUACGUUCACAUACAACGGGUGUAAGACAGUUUUACACAUGCAAAACAGUUAGGGUUAACUUGACGAGCCUAGCAUGUUUAUAGACAUGGCCUCGGAACACAGAAGACCGAAAGGUCGAGCAUGAGUCGUAUAGAAGAUACGAUCAACAUGAAGAUGUUCACCGACGUUGACUAGUCCGUCUCACGUGAUGAUCGGACACGGCCUAGUUGACUCGGAUCAUGUUAUACUUAGAUGACUAGAAGAGGGAUGUCUAUCUAAGUGGGAGUUCAUUAUAAUUUGAUUAGAUGAACUUAAUUAUCAUGAACUUAGUCUAAAAUAUUUACAAUAUGUCUUGUAGAUCAAAUGGCCAAUGUAGUCCUCAACUUCAACGCGUUCCUAGAGAAAACCAAGCUAAAAGACGAUGGCAGCAACUACACGGACUAGGUCCGGAACCUGAGGAUCAUCCUCAUAGCUGCCAAGAAAGAUUAUGUCCUACAAGCACCGCUAGGUGAUGCACCUGUUCUCCCUGCAGAAAAAGACGUUAUGAACGCUUGGCAGGCACGUACCGAUGACUACUCCCUCAUUCAGUGCGGCAUGCUUUACAGCUUAGAGCCGGGGCUCCAAAAGCGUUUUGAGAGACAUGGAGCAUAUGAGAUGUUCGAAGAGCUGAAAAUGGUUUUCCAAGCUCAUGCCCGGGUCGAGAGAUAUGAAGUCUCCGACAAAUUCUUCAGCUGUAAGAUGGAGGAAAAUAGUUCUGUCAGUGAGCACAUACUCACUAUGUCUGGGUUAGAUAACCGCUUGACUCAGCUGGGAGUUAAUCUCCCGGAUGAUGCGGUCAUUGACAGAAUCCUCCAGUCGCUUCCACCGAGCUACAAGAGCUUUGUGAUGAACUUCAAUAUGCAGGGGAUGGAGAAGACCAUUCCUGAAGUAUUUGCUAUGCUGAAAUCAGCAGAGGUAGAAGUCAAGAAGGAACAUCAAGUGUUGAUGGUCAAUAAAACCACUAAGUUCAAGAAGGGCAAGGGUAAAAAGAACUUCAAGAAGGACGGCAAGGGAGUUGCCGCGCCCGACAAGCAAGCUGCCGGGAAGAAGCCAAAAAAUGGACCCAAGCCCGAGACUGAGUGCUUUUAUUGCAAGGAAAGUGGUCAGUGGAAGCGGAACUGUCCCAAAUACUUAGCGGACAAGAAGGCCGGCAAAACGAAAGGUAUAUGUGAUAUACAUGUAAUUGAUGUGUACCUUACCAGUACUCGUAGUAGCUCCUGGGUAUUUGAUAUCGGUGCGGUUGCUCACAUUUGUAACUCACAGCAGGAGCUGCGGAAUAAACGGAGAAUGGCGAAGGACGAGGUGACGAUGCGCGUCGGGAAUGGUUCCAAGGUCGAUGUGAUCGCCGUCGGCACGCUACCUCUACAUUUACCUACGGGAUUAGUUUUGAACCUCAAUAAUUGUUAUUUAGUGCCAAGUUUGAGCAUGAACAUUCUAUCAGGAUCUCGUUUAAUUCGAGAUGGCUACUCAUUUAAAUCCGAGAAUAAUGGCUGUUCUAUUUAUAUGAGAGAUAUGUUUUAUGGUCAUGCUCCGAUGGUGAAUGGUUUAUUCUUUAUGAAUCUCGAGCGUAAUGCUACACAUAUUCAUAGUGGAAGUACCAAAAGAUGUAAGAUUGAUAAUGAUAGUUCCACAUACUUGUGGCACUGCCGCCUUGGUCACAUAGGUGUCAAACGCAUGAAGAAGCUCCAUGCUGAUGGACUUUUAGAGUCUCUUGAUUAUGAAUCAUUUGACACGUGCGAACCAUGCCUCAUGGGUAAAAUGACCAAGACUCCGUUCUCAGGAACAAUGGAGCGAGCAACCAACUUAUUGGAAAUCAUACAUACUGAUGUGUGCGGUCCAAUGAGUGUUGAGGCUCGCGGUGGCUAUCGUUAUGUUCUCACCCUCACUGAUGACUUGAGUAGAUAUGGGUAUGUCUACUUAAUGAAACACAAGUCUGAAACCUUUGAAAAGUUCAAGAAAUUUCAGAGUGAGGUUGAGAAUCAACGUGAUAGGAAAAUCAAGUUCAUAUGAUCAGAUCGAGAAGGAGAAUACUUGAGUCACGAGUUUGGCACACACUUAAGAAAAUGUGGAAUAGUUUCACAACUCACGCCGCCUGGAACACCUCAGCGUAAUGGUGUGUCCGAACGUCGUAAUCGCACUCUAUUAGAUAUGGUGCGAUCUAUGAUGUCUCUUACCGAUUUACCGCUAUCCUUUUGGGGGUAUGCUUUAGAGACUGCCGCAUUCACUUUAAAUAGGGCUCCGUCGAAAUCCGUAAUCAAAUUUGAUUCAACUAAAGUAUGAGAAACAGACAUCCGCUAGCCACCUUUAUGGAAAACAAGUUGCAUGUCAGUCGAUGGAACCGGUCCCACAAUACCGCCGAAUCAAAAUAAGACAUUGAUGGUAAACAAUAUGUCCAACACCGCCCACAAUUCAUUUGUGUUCUACUCGUGCAUAUUAUUUACGCAUAGACCUGUCUCGGAUGCCACUGUUGGGAACCGUUGCAUGGAAAUAAAAAAAUGCAAACACAAGAUCUAUCAAUGGAGAUGCAUAGCUACGAGAGGGGAGACUAUGCCUAUGUAUGUUCGUAGACCGUUUAGCGAAAGCGUUUAUCAACGCAGUUGAUGUAGUUGAACACCUUCGCGAUCCAAUCGAUCAAGUACCGAACGUACGGUACCUCCGCGUUCAGCUCAAUGACGUCAUCGGCUUCUUGAUCCAGCAAAACGGGCAAAGUAGUAGAUGAGUUUCGGCAGCACGACGGCGUAGUGACGGUGGUGGUUAACUUGUUCCCGAAGAGCUUCGCCGAGCACAACGAAAAAACUAGACCGAGGAUGAAACUAUGGAAAGCAACGCUGCAGAUGACUAAAAGAUUGUUGUAGAUUGUAUGGCGCCCCCUCCCUCAUAUAUAUAUAUAUAUAUAUAUAUAUAGGUGAGGGGAGAGGAGGCAACCAGGGUGCGCCCCAAGGUGGCCGGUCGGCCCCUUGGGCGCCUGCCCUAUGGCCUCCCUUCCUUGUUUGGCGCCUGGGAGAAGGCGGGAAGGGAUGACGCCCCGCUUCCCUAGGGCCAACGGCCUGGAGACGCACCAGCCCCACGUGGCCCGUUUGACACAUUAAACUCCCGGGGGCUUCGGGUGUAGUUUCUUUUCCCUUUUGAUAAAGGAAGUGCCUAGGACUCAUCUAGAUAAGAUAUAAUUUGGUUUCAUUCACCUGAAAACAAAAACAGAUAAAAAUAAUACUACAAAAUACAUCAGCACACACGCAUCUUAUAGUAUCAAUCCAAUGGCUAUAAAAAUGAAUGAGACAUAACUAAAACUCAGCUAGAUGAGUUCUAGCAAAGCCGUUUGAUAAAAGGACAAACAAACAACUCAGACAUAAAAAAGCAGUCAAAGGAAAGCCCAGAACGGGAGAAAUUACCAGAACCCACUAACCAGGGAGGCAAAACGGGCCAAAUCCGUUCUAGAUGAUGUCAUUCGACUGAGACUCUGAGACCUUCGUAAUAAAGGUCACGGGCCCCGGGAGCCCGUCGCCUUCCUCGCUGCCCCGGUUACUUCGGGCGAAAAACGAGACGGCGUAGGGGGUAAUCACAUUCACACAAGAUGCCGCUGCCGCGGUUGGUGGCUCGAUCGUGAUGCAGUCGUCGGUCGGUCGAGCCACACCAUGACUAUGUCACGUAGGAACGCGCCGCCCCGAUGCCAGGAGCUUCACCUGAUCGGUCGGUUUUCGUCAUGAAUGCGCGAUGUGGCAGCGGCACCGCGGAGCCAGGUCGACGCAGUCGGCAGCUUGACGAGCAGUUUGUUCUGCUCCUGCUUUGACGACGUUUCUCUCCUCGGAUCGCUGUUGAUCACCAGGGCAAGAGCCUGGCAGAGGGCCUGCCCGUGAGGCCUCACAGCUGAGGGAACACGUACUUGGUGCCUGCCACCCCAUGACGCACGUACUCCGCCGUGCCCGUGCGCCACAUGCAGCAUGCUACGUGUCAGGCGACACGUGCACGUUCCAGGCGCAUGCAUGCAGGGGCACGCGACGACCCGAUCCCGUGGCCGGUGCCGUGUUGACUUGGCGUCCACCCGUCCGGCCAUUGCGACUGUAGUGCAAGCAAAGCGGCGACGCCAUUCCAGCAAACGCACGCGCCGUGUCUCCGGUGUUUGUCUCCUCACGAGGGAGAAAGAGAGAGGGACCUAACUCACGUAUGUUUCGCUGGUUAUCUGGUGUCUGUUAAUUGUCCUGCUACAUUUUAGGAACCUAGGAUUAUUCCUCGUGCUUUACAGAGUUAGUGGCUAUCUAAAUCUAAUUAUGCUGUCACUGGCUGCCACAUGCAUGCGCCUUCGUUCUGCACAGAGACGGCCUGCUUCGUUCUGUACAGAGUAGUAACUAGCUGCCCCUGCACACGGCUCUAAUUUGUAGGCUGCUCUUUUUGGUGGCAUUGUGCGUGCAUGUGUCACACACAGUGUCAGUACUCACUACACAGAGCUUUGCCGGAGAAAAGCUAAGCUUUCCCCCAGCUUCGAUUCCAAGAGUGCAACUUGGCGAGAUGAUUUAGCACGGCAAAACUCGCUGCAUGUGAAAUUGUGAGUACACGCUUUCAUGGCGAUCCGCUACAAAACUAAGCACAUAUUACGCCGCAUGCAUGCACGUACGUACCGUUCAAAACGCUCACGCGCAAGAACAGGGCUGAGGCCGACGCGUGCUUAAUUGGAUCUGUGUGCAAGCCCGUGUCAGUGCACCGUGCGCGGUGAGAGAACAUGAUUUGCAUGGCAUGCUUCAUUUUGCGCGUUUGCAUGGCUAGAACCACAGACACGAGCGGAGCAACGGCGUAACUCCCCGUCGACAAUGCAUGGAGAGUACGUAAUAUGAGUAACGUAGCAGUGGUAGCUGACAUCGAUCUCCUAGUAGCUACAGUCCCUCCCUACAAGAUCCACGGGACAAGCUUAAUGGAUGCCUUUAAGGAAGGAAGGAAGGGAUCCAACUUGGCCACGUACAGAUACGUCGUACGCAUACGGCUACUGCAUGCAUGCAUGUAUACAUGUGUCUAUAUGGGCAUGCAUGUGCGUGUGCAUUACACGGCAGAUACAACAUUGGAGGGCUCAUUUUUAGCAAGAGAACCAAUAGUGCAAGAUCUUACGAAUACGUAUGCGCUCCGGCUGCGAACGUAAGUCACUUAUGACCAUCAUAGCCAGGAGAAUCACGUAGUGGUACAUACACAAGCGUGUGUGCUUUGUACCGGGGGCUGCAAGUGGGGCAAGAGUUAGCCGGGUCGACCACGCCAUCUGCAGUGAACAACUGACCAAAACUCUCAAGCCAUAGGCAUUAAAGUGCUGCGGGUCGCAAAACAGUGGUAGCUUAAGUGCACGCACGCGCCGGCCUUCACCUUUCAUCAUUUACACGGCCGUGCAGCUGCCGGCCUCCGAGUUACCACCGCCACCUCCAUACCACGAUCGUCCUCCGCCCUUCCCCACAGCAUAUCACUGCUCGUUUUCCCCUUUGCAGCACCAUCGCCAUGCGCCGCAACACCACGGAGACCCCCAUCCCCAUCCCCCCGACAGCAGAGGAGGCAUGGCGGCCAUGCAUCUCCAAAGCUCGAUCUGCACAGGAGCACGCAUUUUCUCCCCCAUGCCCGGGAACAGGGCGCCGAUUAUACUACUACUAUACCACAGGAGACGGUUGAUCGUUUUCAACGGUGCGUCGCAAAGAUCAAAAGUUUCAGUUCCCGAGAAGUCACUCCUUGCCACUAGAACUUGGCAAGAUGCGGCGACAGACGUCCAAGUUUACGAGCUGCGAAAAGGGAAAAGACACGCCAAAGUCUAGCUUGUGCAACAAGGUUGGCGAGCAACGACGUUCAUGUCGGGCGGUCGUUUUGUUCGAGUCAGUGUCCCAUCCUUGCCGCCCCGUUGACUGCACCGCCUGUACACUCCGUGGGAACCCUAAUUAACAAGGCCUGCCAGUGCCAUACGUGCCUGUCAAGAAAGAAAACAAAAACCCUAUCGAGAUCACAGUUCAGUCGCAGGAAAAGAAAAACGAGGUUCAGAGCAACAACAAAAGGCAGAGUCAUUGUGUCCGCCUCCCUGUCAUGUACUCCUCCCUACAUCCUAUGCUUGAUUAUCGGGCUAAUCUUGUCAUCUUGACACCACGGGGCCGGCCGGGGCGGCCGCUACACGAUGGACCACACUGUCGAUGUCACCCCCAUGAAGUGCCAUGGAUUAUAUUAUAUGAAAGGAAAGGAAAGAAUCGGGUCGUAAAAGAAGAAGUGCGUUCGUGCAAUGAACACUAGAAAAUCCGGACUGCGGUCACCGUCGUGUCUAGGAAUCGGAUGCAAGUCGGUUUCGUCAUAAACAUGCUUGCACGACUUGGAGAGGUGGCAUGAUCGUGCCGUUUCUCUAAGCAAAGUGAGGUUCCCAUCCAGAUUCUGUUCAUAGGCUCGACUAGAGUAAUCCUCGGAUCACCAUUUUGCUCCCCAAAACAGUUAUCCUCGUGCGAAUGAGUAAAUUCCAAUUUUACCCUUAGUCCGGACAUUGUGACAAUGUUUAUCUUUUGUUGUUACCUUGUGAUGAUUUUUUUAAAACCUUGUGAUGAAUGUUAUCCCAUUUUACUAUUAUUUCCUCAUAAUUGGUAAGAUAGGUAACGUGGCAGUCAACUAGGCGGCUGUCUUGAAUAGUACUAUUUGACGCAGGAGCCGUGCGAUGCAACUAAAUUGACCUUUUCUCUCUCCCAAAUAACUUGUAAAUUUGAGGGAAGCUGGCAUAUAGUAUUUGGUAGUGCCCCUAGCGAGUACAUACGAGUUGUUCACCGAGUUACUACCUUUGUUUCUAAAUAUAAGGUGUUUGACAAUUUAAAUUUAGUAACAAAGGGGGUAGCUAUCUUUUGAUCCUAACAAGUGGAUAUAAUUUCUCAGUUUCAGAAAUAAUAGAAUGGGCUAAAAGUUGUCAACAUGUCAUAUGCCAUCUAUUUUCAGAUAAGGCGAGGGUUAUCAUAUUUUCACAAUAAUAAGUGUGCUUUUUUACUUGAAAAUGUUGCUCCCUUCCUUUUUCCCCUUUCCCGUUUGAUUUUUCUUUUGCUGCACUUUUUCUGGGAGGCUUGUAUAAGGGAAUGGAGGAGGUAUUAUCUGACGAUUGGAGUCGUGCGAUGCAGCCAGCCAUACCUAUUCUGCAGAAUUGACUUUUUUCCCCUACCAAAUAACAUGAUAAAUUUGAGGGAACCUGAUAUAUACUCCCUUUGUACUUCCUCUGUUUUAAAUUACUCGUCGCAGAAAUGAAUGUAUCUAGAACUAAAAUACAUCUAGAUACAUCCAUACCUAUGACAAGUAAUUCAGAACGGAGGGAGUAGAUUUUUAUAAAAAGUUUUCUGAGUCCAUGACAAUGUCAAAGAACAUCCUAACGAGUACGGUACGAGCUGUUUACCCAGUUAGCUUUCUUCUAAUCCCGACAAGUGGAUAUAAUUUCUCAGUUUGAGAAAUAAUAGAACCGGCUAAAAAAAGGUUAUCAACAUGUCACAAAUAAAGGUAAAAUGUGACAUCUAUUUUCAGAUAAGAAGAGGGUUAUCACAUUUUCACAAUAAUAAGUGCGCUUUUUCACAUGAAAAUGAUGCGUCCUUUCCUUUUCCCUCUCAUGUCCGAUUCAAUGUUUUUUUUUCUGCUGCACUUUUUUCUCAGAGGAAGAACGCACGCCACAUGUUGGAAGCUAGCUAGGCAGAAGUAGGGAGGAUGUCAGCUGGGCCCUGAGCAAAAUCCUUAGGUGGGUCCCACAAGAGCAACCAACCAACAGCGGCGACGUCCGCUUAAAGGGUGCUUGGAUCCAAGGGACUAUUUUUAGUCUGACUAAAAAUAGUCUUUUUUAGAGGCUGAAGUUCCAAGCACCCCUGACUAAAGAGAGGCUAGGACUAGUCUUGAGGCUAAAAAUUUUUAGUCAUAGGAAACCUACUAAAUAUGUAUUAGCCCUCUCUCUCCUCAUUUAAUUCCUCUCCUUUAACACAUGCGAGUUCUGGAUUGGAGAGUUUGGAGGAUAAUAAAUGCUCAAUAACUUGAUUUUAGUCUCUUUAGUAUUUGGAUCCAAGCAUGGGUUAGGCUAGCAAGUUUUAGUCCCACUACUUUUAGUCAUGGGACUAAAACGUAUCCAAGCAUCCUCUUAAUCGCUCGUCUUUUCACGGGGAUAGGUCAGGCUAGGUAGGGCAAGGGCAUCCACAAAAUUAAGGAGACGGAUGACCCAAUCUUGAUCGUUAACCUCAAAGUAAAGCGUGAUUAAACUGCUAAGACUAGCCACAAUGGGAGUAACUUCAGCAGUAACAUCGAGUCAAACUCAGCAAGUUUGCUUAUGUGGCAAUGAGUUGAUGAGGAGAGAGGUAGUAGUAGUAACUUAGCUAGUUACCGUAACAUCACAUGUCCCAAUACAAUAUGAGUCUAUAACCUAAUAAAUAAAGCUAUGCAUGUUACCACACUUAUGUUACUACCCACUAUGAGGCCCCUCCCAAUGCUCCACCUUGUACAGGUGCUAAGCCUUCCACGUAGGCAAAAAAUCUGAUGUGGCAGGUUAUUUAAGAGGAGAGAGAUAAGUGUGGUGACCCCAGGAAGAACCAAUGCUAAGCGCGUGAACCUAGGCAAAACAUUUAAAGGAAGGAAGCCCACCAAUACAUGAAGAGCUUUAGUUGCUAAAUCAUUAAAUGAAGCAAGCUUAGCAACCAUAAGCUAAGCACCUAUGCAUUGGGAAGUAUAGUUGCUAACCUAUUUAAUGUGCUUAGCACCUUAUCUAAGCACCCAUGCAUUGGCAGCAGUCUGAAGGUAGUAACAUGGUCUAGGAAUAUGUGUAUGUUACUCUUCAUUGUGGCUAGUCUAAGGGCAUCUCCAACAGUUGUGAGAUAGGUGUUGGUAAAUUUGCCACCUAGGACAUAGUGAUGAUGUGGCAUGUAUUAAAUGUGGAGAGAGAGCAAAGUUGUAUGUAGAUUAACCAACAACCUUUGCACAAGCUCCAAGGUGAAAUAGAGAGCAACCACAUUUAUUGUCUCAUCAUCUAUUGGAUAGUUUACAUGCAACUCAUUGGAGUAGUUGUAUGAUAGCUUAUUGAUUGAUGAUAUGGACAUUUUACCAACAAAACUAACAUACAACUUGUUGGAGAUGCCCUAACCCCCACAACUUUUCUUUGGCCAAGUGGGCUACGAUCGGCAUGAUGGCCCUAGAUGAGCUCUGCUGGCCAUUAGCCCGGCCACGUGGGACCCCGCCAGUCACCACGGUGCACGAUUGUAACACUCCUUUGUCUAUAUCACGCGUGAUUAAACUAGGCCAUAGUUAAUUAGGCGACGGUGAUGAUGGUUGGAAGAAGUUGAUGUUAACCGAUCCCCAAGUGGGGGGAGAUUUCAUCACCCUUGGAGAGGAGAAGCAAAAAAAAAGUAAGUAAUAUCCGUGGUGGGAAGUGGGCGCGUGAUGCAUGAUCUCAUGGCGUUCCUUCUGGCCAAGGACCACCGUCUCGUCAAGCGUGGAUUUCUCUCCACUCCACUCCAUUAGGAUAAGCGUUGGACUUUGAGAGUGCUGGAGACGCUCUGGCCUCUGGAGUUGGGUUAUGUGAUGCCAGUGUCACCACAUGCUGCCAAUGCCCUGGCGCACCGCGCAAAUAGUAGUUCAAGUUGCGCACUAGUCCCGGCCAAAAAGGUCUCGGAUUUUGCUCGUGGACGUUAACGUACUCGUCCACCUGAUGGACGUAACAGUUGUGCCUUGUGUGUAGCCAGCCAGCGAGCCGUAGUCGACAAGAUCCGCGUGCCGCCACUUGUCAACUUGGCCGGAGACGCAUGGAGAAACUUUGCGGCAGCAGGUGGUGGUAGCCCGGGCCUGGGAGGAGACGAUGCAUCGUCGGCGUCGCUGUCCGGCAGUACGUGGCCGGGAGGCCGAGUGGUGGCGCCGUCUCCUGAUUAGGCGUGGCGUGGCGGGGGCCGGGCGAAGGGAAAAGGAGAGGAGAGGGGGGAGGCAGGAGGGGGACAGGGGGUGGAGCCCGCGGUGUUGGGCGUGGCGGCGGCAGGGGACACUGCUUGCUGCUGGGCGCCACAACUCGUCGUCGCUCCCUCUCCCGCUGCUGACAACGAUCACCCGCGCGCCCAUCAUCCUGCCUCGCCAUCGCGUCCAUUCGCCCGUGUACCCCGCCGGUACAGGCGCACAGCGGCCGGGGGCCGGCGAGUUCAAUGCGCCCUGGCCGGUGGAGACGUCGCCGGUGUGCGCCCCAAUUUGCACCCAAGUUACAAAUAGGAGCCAAUGUUAUUAGGGCCACCUCACCCUUUUGAACUGCCAGUUUACUUUUGAUCUUUAGUUAACCUAGCCGUCCGUCACCAUGGCACACUCAUCCAUCAUUCGUGCGUGCGUCUAGUCCAGCUUCGAUUACACAACGUGAGCCGAGAGUCCUACACUACUUAUUCUGACACGCCAAAGCUAGCUGAUGCGGGAGCCUGUGGCGACACAUGGUCUGUCUCGAAACUCGUCCGGGAAAGCGCUUCACUGUGAUCGACCGUGUGCCGUCCUUGCUCCAGAUUUAUUCACGCUACCUUAGCUAGCUCGCUAGCCGCUGGGUCAUGACCAGAUCUAGCUACUGCCCACAGCACGUAGCACGCUUUAGAGCCUUCCGCCAUUGAAAGCUCCCGCAUGCCACUUCCAGUGAUAUAUGCACAGCUAUAGACAUUCCAGCUGGGAUUGACUUUUGCCGGUGCAUGGCGAUGCAUGGCUAGCAAGGGAGUCGAAGAAACGAUGUGGAAUUAUGACAGACACGUACGCCUUCAGUCAGUGUCCUGAUCACUGGUCGAUGGUGCUGGGAGAAUUAGCUGUUCACGUGCGAGCUCGUCAUGGCUAAUCGGCUAUCUUUGCUAGCUCUGGCUUCGGGGCCAUGCAUGUGCCUAAAUUCUGGUAGAGCACAGUGGGCUGUCUAUGCACGGUUGGACGCACGCACGUACGCUGUUGUCCUCGGAGCAGUGCAUGUGCAUGCAUGAGUGCCUGCCAUCGAGAGGACAAUCCUCUGUCAUAUUACCAACACGUUACACAUGCACAUGUACUCAGCUGCUGUUUCCUGAAAUACAACAACGAAAUCCACGAAUUAAACAUGCAUAUAUACGUACGUAGAACGCCGGCCCUUGGAUUCGAAUGCUACUAAAUCCGACACGAGGGCGAAUCAACCUGUGGUUGAGUUGGUUAGGUGGACAGUGGUAUCUUCAACCCAUCAGGGUUCAAAUCCUGGUGCUCGCAUUAUUCCUGGAUUUAUUUCAGGAUUUUCGGCGAUGCGCUUUCAGUGGGAGGAGACGUUCCCGUCGACGACGAGUCGCCUACGGUGACUUCGUAAAUCUCAAGAUGAUAUGCCGGCUCAGUCUCUCGAAGGUGCUCAUAGGGGUAGGGUGUGCGUGCGUGCGUUCAUAGGAAUGAGUGUAUGCGCGUGUAUAUGAGCGCUUGUGUCUGUACUGAUGCUAAAAAAACCCCGAAGGCGAAGAUAUGGCAGGAACCACCUGCGAGCGUGUCCCUCCCUUUUCCCAUUUGGCCAUUUCCCACGUGGCGGCAGGGGUCAGCGAAUGAUCCUCCACCAAACCAGAGCCUCUCCCGCCCCAUCACCGCCAAAAGGCGGUGGGCCAGCGAACCCGAACCACCACCACACCGGGCGCUGCCACGCCGGUCGCGGCGGAUCAUUGGAUCCGUAUCGAACCUUCCCGAUGUGCCGAGGCAGGCGGACCAGGGCACGCUCCCGGCGACGCCGCUCCUCUCCGGGCACGGGCUCGCGCACGGGGGAUCCGCCGAUCCGAUCGCCCACCACCUGACGACGCACGGGACGUACGUACGUGCCCGCGUCCGGUGCGCGUGGCGCCCAGUUGCGCGUCGCGGUGCGUGGUGACCGUGGCCGGGGCGAGCAACCACGCGAUCUGGCACGCACUGUUGCUCCCCUUAAUUUCUACACGUUUUCCCUCUUUUCCUCGGUACCGACGUUUUUCCUCUCUCUUUCCGAGUAUUUCCCAUGGACAUUUCCGCCUGCCUUUACUUAUACUUUGAGUGGGCCGGGUUCCGAUUUUCCGAGUCAUCAUUGGUGCCGAGACAAGGCCCACUGUAGACCGCGGCACAUCGUAGCGAUCCACUAUAGCCAUCGGCACGGAGAUUUGGUGGUAAUACGUCCUGCUGCCCGGGAAAACAACAAGUGAGCUGCCACCCGGAUAAGAUAAAAUCAUCGCCCCCCGGCCUGAUGCAUAUAUGCCACUGGGAUCUCUGAUGAAGAUCCUUAGCACGACGCGUCUCUAUUAUUACGGCCUUUUUCUGGUACGGCGAUCUCUGCCAUUUGCGCCAGGAUCUUCCUCGCAAACAGAGUUAGACAUGAGGAUAUCCUUAUUACCGUGACGUUUUUUGCAUUGGCAUUGGGUUCACUUAGACACACGUACCGUCUUCCACAAAGGAAAAAAAAGCCGCCUUAAUUGAACGUGGAGUUUUUGCACGAAAAAAAACCCACGCCUUAAUGAGGAUAUGCUUCACUAAAAAAAAA